CUGCAAAUGAGGAGGAAGCACUGUUGGAAAAGGUAUGGGUAAAACCAAUUUUGAUCAUUUUAAUUGCUAUUGUUGCAUUAGUUACAUCACAUGCUAGCGUAUUUGAAAUAUAAUAUAAAAUUAGAACUCUAGAGAUUAUGAGACUAUACUAAUAUUCAUUAUAAAACAGUUCUGAUUCACCCAUUUUUAAGGUAAAGUAAAUAUGUAUGCACAGUCUGGAGCUGCUCCAAGCACUAUUAGUGAGCAGACUGAUCCAAAAUAAGUGUAAGUACAUUACAGAAAGUAGAAGAUUCAUGCACAGAAUUGCAUAUUUUAGACAGGAAAAAUAGGUAAGAAAUGUCCUGCACUGCAAGCCAAUAAAAGGUAACUCAUAAGUAGGCUUAAAAUUCUCAAUUUCUUUUUAUUCCAGUGAAAGUAGUGUCAGAGUGAUUCAUACAUAAUGAAGCAUACGAGAACAGCCAUACAAUCUUAUGCGUUUCACCUCAAUGGCUUAGACAUAGAUUCGUAUUUUAAUAACACACAAUGCAAAUAAAUCUUAUGGGGUUCGGGGAAUAGACUUCCUAAAGUUCUAGUACAUUGCCAGUAUGAUAUGACAGAUAAUUAGCUGAAGAGACAAUUAACAUGCCCCUAAGAAGAUAUGUCAACUAAAAUCUGUAUUCACAGUUUGUAAUUAAUUAAUACACGUUCUACCCAUGAGCAUUGAAAGCUUUAAUACCUAUGUCAAGAAUUUUUUCAGUUUUUUUUUUUUACUUUGAUGUAAUGUAGAGAAUUUUCUAUUUCUGUCUUUCUCUUUAAAUCCAUGCAGUUGCAGUCAAUCAUAGAUUAAUAAAUGAACUAUAAACUAAACAGACCACCGAAAUGCUGCCAGAAGAGUAAAUCUAGCUGGCUAGUUCUAGCCAAUAUCUUAACAUUUAGUGAUGAGUACAUAAAGUGCGUGUACAUGAAGUGGAUAUCUAUCUAUCUAUCUAUCUAUCUAUCUAUCAAUCUAUCCCAUUAUCAAAACUUAAAUGAAAAUGUUUAAUUGUACAAACACUGAUGAAUAAAUAUUUGCAAUAAAUAAUAAAUAGUGACAGGAUUAUCAUUUAAAUUGGUUCAGACACAAAUAAAGAAAAUAUAUUGUUGUGUUGGUAGAAUAGUGAUCUUUAUUUAAUUGCAUUUAUUCAAGUCAGGUACUAUAGGAAGGUGUUCUGCAUCUGAGUUUGUGAGUUUGUAAGUUUAUAAGAAGGUGGCUUUAAUUCCCAUUGGACAUGCAUGAUUGAAAGAAAUAGAUAUGCAUACUUUACAAUGUACCAAGUUGAAUUUCAGUUUAGGCAUUGUUCACAUGGUGUCAUUUGUCACAAUGAUAUAAUCUCUGUGACAAAUUACACCAAGUAGUGUGAACGGGGACAUAUGGACCCAUUCAAAGGACGUAACAACUGUUUCAUCAGUCAGUCUGCUGCAUAUUCUUUUGUUGUGGUGGUGUUCUUAUGAGAUCAGCCAAGAUAAACCAAAGAGGUCAACCAAUAACUUCCUCACUGAGAGCACAGUUACUUGGUUACAAAACACGACAAAUAUCAACAGGUGCACCCCUACAACAUGCUCCAAAUGGUAAACAAAAAAAGUUCACCAUAUAUAUAAAAUCUAACAAAAGGUGAUAAGCAAUUACACUUAAGUGAUAUGAAGCACUAGAAGUGUGAAAACUCCAUAUAAAAAUUCAUAUAUAUUUAGUUAAUUAAUGAGCAGAAAUAGUCCUAUGUUUGUUAUGUUGCUCCAAAGCUAUUUAGCAUAAAAUAUUGAACAGCACUUAAACAUUCCUUUCACCCAAACUACUGAUAUAAAUUGUAGUGAUUAUGGUGAUACAAUUGUCCCUUUAAAUGAUUCAUUUUCUCACUUAAACUCUUUCUUAUUGGUUUAUUUUGAUUUAAAGCCCUGUAAUCUACCCAGCCUAUGUUUCAGGUUCCAGAAGUUAUAUAUAAUGAUUGUAUAUAUGAGUGAUGUAUAUGAGACUUUGUAGCUGCUAGUGAGAUCGGCAAGUUUAGUUGUGCAAUUAAACUUUCUAAGAUAGUCCUGUUUGCUCUUGGGUUAACCUAUGAAAUUACUCAUAGUUUCGAUUUGUUCACUAUACUUGGACACAUCCAUCCUUUACCAGCUUAAUUACUUGUAGCUGUGAAUUAUUCACAGCUCUAAGGUUCAAGUUUGUAACAAGUCAUAUGUCAUCAAUGUGAUUCUGAUUCAUUGUCACGUUCAAAAGUAAUAACUACAUUUUAUUUUUAGGUUAAAAAUGUAAAAUAUAGAAAAAAAAUAUUCUUACAGUUUGAAUUAUUAGUUAAGCAGAGAGUUUGUUGUUGUUAAUAAAUGUAUGCUAUAAAGUCCAUAAAACGAACGAUAAGAUUGUUUUUGAUCCAUGGCAGGACUGUGACAAUGUUUGCAGCAGCUUUUAAAAAAUAAUAAUGAUAAAACACCUUCGGUGUUAUAUGUGCCCAUAACUAACUGGGGUACUAGACUUUAACUUAUUUUAUUUUCUCAGUUAUUGGUUUACCCUCAAAAAAUAUUAAGUGUUAUAUAAAUUCAAAAAAUCCUAAUAAAUUAUAGUGUGAUACAAUUGCUUAAAUAUAUUUAAAUAAAAUCUACAGCAGCUCUGAAACACUUGUGCAGAGGAACCGUUCUUCCCUCACCAAACAACAACUGAUCUAAAAUAUAUUAUAAGUGACAACUUCUAAAAGUAGUGAAGCACUAUAAAAAAAGGACUUUCUUACUCCUUAUACAAUGUAGAUAGAUGGGGAUAUCAGUACAGCACAAUAUGAAAAACAAACAAAUAGAAUAUAUAGUGUGUGAAAAGUGAGCCAUAUAUGUAGGCUCCAUUCCAUGUGAGUGAAUCCACAGUGUUGCUUUCUAAUUCAUAAAUUCAUUACCAUCUACACUAUAUAUUCUAUUUGUUUUGUUAUUCAUGUGGUGGUGUACUGAUAUCCCCAUCUAUCUGCAUUGUAUAAGGUGUAAGGUAUCCCUUUUUUUUUUUUUUAAAGCAAUCAACUACCUUUAUAAGUUUGUACUUAUAAUGUAUUUUAGAUUAAGUGCUAUAUAUUUGACUAAAUACGGCUAUAAGAAGACAAAUCCUGGAUUAAACAACCGUUAAAAUUUUAGUAAAGGUACACACAGAGCAUCAUCAUCACUUUAGUAUGUUGUAGUGGUUUAGCUGCACUGGCAUCACCCUCCAAUGUGUAGUAAACCAUUGUCAAGCCUCCACUGCAGCUUCCUCUCUAGCUGCAACCUCUUUGUUUCAACCAGGCCCUCAAGUUUUCAGCCAAUGAGCUAGCUGGAGAAUUAAUGGAAGCUCCCGAACAGGAGAUUCUAGCUCUGCUGAAAGCUGCAGAAAGGUGGAGAGUACCACCCAGGUAAUAAGUCAAAACUUUCUAAAAUGGUUUGACUACUUACAGGAGGUGGGUCUGCCAGAUAACUACUCGGACCAUAACAACCUCAAUGCACUACAGUGGUUAUGGUAUGUAUUUUAGAGUGUUCUUUUGCUUCUUCUUCUGUUAUAUAUGACUUCAUGGUGUUCCAUAAAGAAGAUGAAAACAGCUUCCAUGUAAAUAUAAAUGCAUAUACUGUACUCUGUUUAGAUCACUAUUUAUGGACUCUUCUUUAAAAAAACAACAACCAAUAGUGACAAAAGCAUUAAUGCACUUUUACUUGUGCAUACCUUUGGAAUGUAAUAUCUAUUUUUUUUUUAAAUUCUUUAUUUAUUGUCAGACAGAUACUAUACCAAUACAUUAACAUUGCGAUAAUAGGUUUCGCAGAAGCCUGGUGUACAAGCUUAUAUAUUUUUCGUCUGUCAGUUUUUUUGAAACUUUAGCGGUGUAACAUAACAUACAUAAGUAAGUGAACAACGUUAAAAUUGCAACAAGAUGUGUAUAAUGAUGGGUACAAUUGAGGUUUUGUGAGGUGUGAUUCGUUUGUCCGUGGUGUUUUUGCUAUUUAAUGGAGUUAGUCAUGGUCUGCGUUAAUCUGGCCUUGUAAGAGAGUGAGCUGUCAGCUCCCUCAGGGGUGUGGGAACCCAUUGGUCAUUUGGUGGUGGGGAUGAGCAUCCACUCCCUGCCCUUCAGCUCCAAGAUGGAGUUGGUCGUCAUAUUGUUCCCAUGGUGCCCAUACCCGGUUAAAGGCUGCCAUAGUGUUUCAGACCUGUCAUUUUGUCCAUUAAAUAAUUGUCUCUGAACUUGGUCAUUACCUGAGAUAGAGGUGGUGUCUCCAGCUGUAGCCAUUAUUGAGCUAAGGCUCUACGGGCCGCUAGAUAUAACAUGUUUAGUAGUCUCUGUUCAUACCUGUCUAGUCUGUCUGUAGGUCGGGAGAGGAGACAAGCCCAGGGGUCGGGCAUGAGUCUUCUGUGCAAGAGACGAGAGCCUACGGUCACCACCUCCCUCCAGUAUAUGGUAACCUUUGGGCAGUGCCACCACAUGUGAAUGUACGUGCCUUUUUCCCCGCAUAUACGCCAGCAGGUGUCUGUGGGGCUGAUUUGCAUCUGGCAUAGCUUGACAGGGGUUGCAUACCACCUAAAUAGUGUUUUGUAUGCUUGUUCCUGUAGGGAGGUGCAGAUGGAUGUUUUUGUGCAUGCUUCCCAAAUAUCUUGCCAAUCUAUCCCCUCUAAUGUGUCCCCCAAGUCUGCCUCCCACCUGUCUGUGUACGUUAUCGUUCCCCAUGUUCUGGACUCUGUACAGAUGUUACUAUAGAGUAGCGAGAUGAGUUUCGUUGGCAUGGUUUCUUUAAAGCAUAUGUGUUCGAAGAAUGUUAAUUUCUUGGUUGUCACAGCUCUAACCAUGGCGGUUUGUGCGAAGUCCCUGAUCUGAAUGUAGCGGAAAAAAUCCCUGGUUUGCAGUGGAGCAAGGGAUUUUAAGUGGUCGUAUGUCACUAAUUGCUUGUCGAUGUAUAGCGUUGUAGCCCUGUGGUUUCUAUGCCUUCAAAGUCUUGUGUCCUGAGUCCUGGUGGGAAUGCUCUAUUCCUGAAUAUUGGAGUCAUAGGGCUUGGGGUGUUCGUGAGUUUAUAUUUCUGUGCUACCUGGUCCCAGGUAAUGGAGGCUAAUGGAGUUGAGUAUAGCUGGGCAGGUGGUUCUAACUAUCGUCCUGUGUUCUUUGGGCGUCCAUAUUAAAAAUUGAGGCAGGUCCGUGCCAGUCAUUAGGGAUUCUAUGUCUACCCAUCUGCGUUGAUCUAUUGGGCAGUGCCAGUGUGCUAUUUGUGCUAUUUGGGCUAUUUGUGCUGCUAUGUAGUAGUUGUGCAAGUAGGCCUCCCCGUGAUUUAGGGUUGUAUAGUAUGGCUCGGGCUAUUCUAGGUCUUUUUCUCUGCCAUAUGAAGGCGUCUAUAGCCUUCUGGAUAUCUGCUAGAUCUCUUCUGGUGACCCUGAUCGGUAGUGCUUGAAAGAGGAAUAAGAGUCUGGGCAUGACGUUCAUUUUAACUGAAUGUAGGUGACCUAGCCAUGUGAUGGGUUUGUCUGUCCAUUUGUCUAAGUCGUUUUUUUAUAGUGUGCAGGAGGGGUGUGUAGUUGUGCUUGUAUAGUGCAGUAGGGUCAGCUGUAAGUUGUAUUCCCAGAUAUGUGAGUGAUUCAUGGUUUAUUCUAAGAUAGUGUUUGUGUCUGAUGUAUGUUGCAUCUUGUUCCUGCAGGUGGAACGGCAUGAAUUGUUUAGUCCUUAUCUGUAUGCCCUGUAUUAGCGGGUCUGUUCUAAUGGAUUGUAGUAAGGGUUCCAGAACUAGCACAAACAGUAGUGGAGAUAGGGGGCACCCCUGUCAUGUCCCAUUUCUCACUGGGAAGGGGGUCCUGGGGACACCAGGUAUGAUUGUUUGUGCUUGGAGGUCUGUAUAUAGGGCCUUAAUCACAAUAAUGAAUGUGUCUGGGAAGUCUUGUGAUUCUAGUAGGUGAAAUAGGAAUAGCCAUUAGACUCUGUCAAAAGCCUUUUCGGCAUCUAGGGAGAGGGCAAGGGAGUGUUAUGGGCAAAUACAAAUAUUACAAGUUUUAGAAUGAAAUGUUGUAUUUCUUAAACUGUGUACUUUGUCUUUAAGAGAUAUUGGAAACUGACAAGGUGUUAGAAAUUGAACAUAUUGUUUUUCAUAGAUGUUUCUUUAAGCAAUAACCUCAGUGCAUAUUAUGUUUGCGCCAUUUUGUCCCAGACGAAUUACAAUAACAAUAAUGCAUAAACAAGCUUCAAGUCUAUCCUACUACUCUUUCAGUACGUAUUAUACUGUAGUAACCUUAGUAGAUAAGGAUGUUCAGACUUUAAGAUGCUAUCUUGAACUAAGUCAGGAAAAUUUCCAUGAUGUAUGCACCCUUUAGUAAUGGCCUUGUAUGUUUGCCAAAUUAAGGGAGGUCCUAAAAUGAAUAAAGUAAAUCUGGAUGUACUAGUUUGGGCAAGAGAGGUGUUAGUCGUAUAGAUAAGAUUUUUGUGAAUAUUUUUAAGUCCGAGUUGAUUAGGGAGAUUGGUCUGUAGUUCGUGGCUAGGGUAGAAUCUUUAUUUGGUUUAGGUAGUAGCACUACAUUGGCGGUAGCCAUGUUUCGGUCUGGGGUCCCUCCCUGGAGGAAGUGGUUAUAUAAUUUAGUGAGGGGGGUAUUAAGUCAUCUUUUAAUUUUUUGUAAUAGCUAAUGUCGUAGCUGUCGGGUUCCGGGUGCGUAGAAAUUGCCGCCACUUCCUCUUGUGCUAUAGGCACCUGUAGAGCCUCUGCCUCUUCUGAUGUUAUCUUUGGCAGGUCUGUGUGUGCCAAGAAGUCUGUAAUACGUGUCAGGAAUUGGGCAUGUGCUAGUUUGUCUUGUGGGGUAUGGUCGUAUAGUCCGCGAAAGUAUUCUGUGAAUGCUAGGUUGAUUUCUCUUGGUUUGUUAACUACUACAUUAGAGGAGUUACAGAGUGUAGUGAUGGGUUUGGAUUCUUGUCCAGGCCUGAGCGUUCGGGCUAAUAGUGUCCAUCUUAUUGUCUUUCUCGUAAAAGAGGCGCCGGGAUCAUAGAAUAGAGUGUGCUACGUCUGCUAUGGAUAGUUCUCUGAUAGAAUGUCUUAGUGCUUGGAGUUCGUUAAAUUUAGCUGUGGUGGAGUUAUGUUUGUGUUGGUGUUCUGUUCUCCGCAGUGCAGUUUGGAGUUCCAAGAGGCGCUUUGUUUUUGUUUUUUUGGUGUGGGUGGCUGCUCAGAUGAAGUGGCCUCUCAGGACUGAUUUGUGGGCCGCCCAUAUGAUUGUCGGGUUUAUGUCGCCUGUAUCAUUGUUGCUAAAAUAGUCUGUGAUUGUUGCCCGGGUGGCGAGGAAUAUCUCCUCAUCAUUGAGCAGGUUAGUAUUGAGUUUCCAAGUCCAGUUUGAAUGAUAGUGUAGAUUCCCCAGUGUGACCGAUAUGUCGGCAUGGUCAGACCAUGUGAUGCUGUUGAUCUCUGAGUGUAUGAGUUUGGUCAUGCCUGCUCCAUUGAGGAGAAUGUUAUCGAUUCUAGAGUACGUGUUGUGUGGUGCGGAGUAGUAUGAAUAGUCCCUGGUGUGUGGGUGUUGUAGCCUCCACGCGUCGAGUAAGCCUGUGUGUUGGAGAAAGGUGUGCAUUAAUUUAUCUUGAACCCCUCUGCCCUGUGAGCGUUGUGUUCCUGGUUUAGAGCUUCUGUCAAGCGUCGGGCAAGGGACUGCGUUGAAGUCCCCACCUACUAUUAGCAUGCCUCCUUGGAGAGUGGCUAUCAGGGUUUCCAUGGAGCUUCAGAAAGCUUGAUCUGGUUCAUUGGGGGCGAAAAUGAUAACUACGUGUAUUGUCAUGACGUGUAUAGUACCAGAGAUGGCAAGAUAUCUGCCUUCGGGGUCAGUUUGUUGGUGUGUCAGUAUGAAUGGGCAGGAUUUGUGGAUCAAUAUGGCGUUUUUCCUUAUUGCUCUAGCCUCAUACGUCGUGGUGUAUAUGCUGUCCUUCAGUCUGACUGGUGUUGUUCUGUGUAGGUGUGUCUCCUGAAUGAGUCUUUUUUGAUUUCAGUUCUCUUAGUAGUAGUCUGCGUUUUUGGGGUGUGUUCAGACCCCUGGAAUUUAUGGAUAGGACUUUAAGCGUCAUGGUGGUGACGUUGUAGUGGCCAUUGUAGGCUGUGGGACCCUCUGUCAAGGUCUGUCUUAGGUCGGGCAGGCUCCCUCCCUGGUUUUGACAUGGUGUCUUGCGCAGGUCCAAGAGCGACAGUCUCAUUUGUACACAUGUUAAACAUUAAAACAACAUAACUAUUUACAUAAUAAAGAAAAACAUUCCAGUGUAAAUACAGUCUGGUCUUAUUAUGCCAGAGUGAAUUGGGGGCGGUUUCUCUCCCCGCAGAUGAUACUAAUAUGUCUCCAGUAGGGUCGAGUGAGUCCACCGUGCCACAAUGCGAGAGAUUCAUAUAUAACGUAUUGUCUUCCACAUCGUAUAUAACAGUUUAUGCACUUAGUUUAGUUUGUUGCGUGCCUAGAUGGUAAUGUCAGAGUUUCAUUUGUCCUCCUCCGUAUUCCCAGUUAUUAUGAGGGGGGUAUGGGAGUUUAAGGUGGGACUGCGGCCUCCCCCUGAGGUUGGGGUUACGCUGUUGAAGUUACCCUUUGUAUUUUUUCAGUUUUCCACGGGUUGUGUGGUGUUGCCAUUAUUGUUGGGGUCCUAGGGGCAAAAGCUGUGGGUGAGUGUAGGUCCACGGUUGGUAGUGGGAAGGGUGAGUGAGGAGCCCUGGGUUUCCUGGUCGGGUGGUUUAGAGCGUUGUAUCCCGGGGAUACCCAUAUUGUGUUUGCUUAGCCUUGUUCCCAGUGUGAGAGGGUCCGUGUCUUGGGCAGAGAGAGAGAUCCAGGCCACACAUCAACCUCUAUGUGGCAUGAGGAGUUGGGUAGUGUGUGCAGGCAUGUGUGAUCCCUGUCCCUAGUGUGUGUGGGGGGGAGGAGGUUAUCCCCUAGCCAACCCACCCCCGCAAUAGCCAGAGUCCCCCCCAGGCCUGGUAGUGUGGCCAGUCCCCAAGUUCGUGUGGAGGGUACCUUUUAGCCAGUCCGGUGAGGUAAGUGUCAGGCACUGCGGGAACAGGGAGGGCAUUUAUGUGUGUCGGUCAGCCGUUUCGCCAGCCAUCAGCCAGUCCCGGGGGAGUGAUCAGAGCUCUGGCAAGUUGUCUUGUGGUAGGGAGAAGCCUGGUGGGGGGUCUAAGCGGAGGCCACGGAGAAAUUUUAAGGCAUCAGUCCCGGGCAGGAGGGUGUGUGUUGCGCCUGACCUGAUCGCCACUAGCUUAAAUGGGUGCCCCCACGUAUACCGGAUCUCUUGGUCCUGCAGCAGCGAGGUUAACGGCUUCCAGGCUCGAUGGCGCUACAGUGUAGUAGGUGAUAGAUCUUGGAAUAGGGUGAUGUUGGCGGAUUAAUAGGUAAGGUCAUGCUGUCUGGCGUAUCUCAUCACUGCUUCUUUUGUUGUAUAGAAGUGGAUGAUGAUAUCCCUGAGCGCCGUCCCUUCAGUUCUGCGGGCCCGGAGCACCCUGUGUGCUCGGUCGAUCGUCCAUUUUUCUUCUAGUAUUUCUAGCAGGAGGUGCUUAAAGUAGUAUUCUAUCUUUUCAAUGAGUGCCCCCUCAUUAGGUGUUUCUGGGAGGCCUCUAAGCCGGAUAUUGUUGCGCCUUGAGCGGUUCGCUAGGUCCUCGACCAGUCGUUCCAGCUUGGUUAUAUUCUGCACUGCGGCUCUGGUAUGGGUCACUGCUGUAUUGUGGGCCUGUGCAACUUGUUCCAUCCUCUCCUCCAGUACCGUGGUAGGGGCGCCCAGCAUCUGAAUUUCCGAUUUGACCUCUUGUGUGCUCUUAGAGAUUUCUCCUGCAAGAUAAUUAUGGAUCUCUAGUAGUUUAUUGAGGAUGUGCGUGGUGUCAUCUUGUGCAGGCUGAUCGCUGCCCUCCACAGAUGCUCGGGAGAGGGGGCUGUGUGAGUCGCGCUGGCGGCCAUCUUGCACGGCCUGCGAGCCGCGUGGUGUGGUAAGCAUGUCAAUGACGGAUGUGGAGGCUUCUCUCUUUUCUCCUUUCUUUUCGCGGUUGCUUAGCUCCGGUUUGCGUACUGUGCAUUGUGUGUGCUAGGGUGCUGGGUUAUGAGUCUCGAUGCCUGUAGUAGGUGCUGGAUUGUCGGUGUAUUUAGCGGAGCUCUUAGACUACGCGGCCAUUUCGGUCAUCAGUCAGACCACGCCCCCCCCCCCCAUGUAAUAUCUAUUGUACGGAACAAAUAUGCAGACAUUAGUACUGGUCAUUCUUCUGCUUAACAUCUUAAGGACACAUGACGUGUGACAUGUCAUGAUUCCCUUUUAUUCCAGAAGUUUGGUCCUUAAGGGGUUAAAAUGUAAUUUCAUUAUUUUGUAGAACCGUGUUUGCUUACUUUAGGCUCUGUCUCAGUAUUGUUUCAAUCUGUAACAUCUUGUCAUUUAAUUUUAAAGUUCUAAGUAAUAUAUAAAAAAAAGAACCGGACUGCACAUAUGUGCAGUUAUUCAUUUUAGUUAGAUUAUUUAUUUUAAAUCCUGAGAUUUGCAUAACUUACUCUACAUAUUUUUGUUAUGAGGGACUAUGCUGCUAAUGAUUUGGGGGAUUGUAGUUCAAUUUCCUCUUGCUAUGCCUACUGGAAAAAAAAUGUUUAGUGAAUAAGGCAGUGUAUGGGUAACAUAUGAGUGUAAUGCUUGAGCAAUUUCCUUCGUCUGUGGAUUGCAUAUCCCCUUCCAGCUGUGUAAAAAGCAAUGAAACAGGUCAGACUUCAAAUAUUCUUUGAAAGUACAAUUUGUUGUUUUGUAAGUUUCCAGUGGCACGUGAAAAAUGUUUUUUUUUUAAAUUAAAUUUGCAUGGUUUGGGGACAUAAAUAUUUUAUUUUAAAUUUGCUGUUAAUGCAUACCUUUUAAUUUUAUUUUUUGAGACCAUUAUAUUAAGUUUCUGGCUUUAAUAUACUAUUUUUUUUUUCUUACCACAUCCUACAGAUGUAAUGACUAACAGUUGAUUCUCCUGCAGUUAUUGACUACAAUGCCCAUGAUGCUUUGCCUCACAUGAAACAAAUGGGUUGAUUCCCUAGAUUCCAGUGAUAAAAAAGUGACAAGGUUAAACCAAACAGCCUUUUGUUAGCUGGUGCAUCACAAAAAAGUUUAAAUUUAUACUUUCAGUGCCACUAUUAGAGCAAUUUUCUUCUGCCCUUGUUUAAAUGGCAAAAUGCACUUUACAACUGAAAAACAAAAUACACAGAGUCAAUAGGUCCACAGCAUUUAACAUGACAGACCUAUUUAGAUAUCGUAACCUCAUCAGCUAUGUGGCAACAGGGUAUUUAAAAAAACAAAACAAAAAAAACAUAAGUGAUUUUGGGGUCCUGUCAUCCAGUAAUAAUUAAGUGGGAUGUCAAAUGACCCCCUCUUCCUCCUCUCCUUUGCGGAGGCAAAGAGAAUACUAAACUGAGAAGAGGCCUGUAAAACAAACUUUACCCCUUCAAACACCCAUGUGAGGAACAGAAGGACAUCAUAUUAUUAGGUGAAUGCCUCCUAUCUGACUACUGGAGUGGAGUGUAUAGUGAUAGGGCUAAGUAGUUCCUAAGAGGAUGCCCAGUUCCUUGGUCCUAAUAUUCAUAAAACACAGGAUUUUUAUUCUUCUGGUAAAUUAAACAAUCCUCACUUCACCCCGUCCCCCCCAAAAAAAAAUUAGGCACCUGGAAAGCCCACUGCACAGGACAUCAUCUCAUAACUAAAAAUGCGCCUAUCUAUUCCACUAUUGUAAUAAAGCAUAGUAUGGUCGUUUAUGCCAAAAAAGGUAUAUUUCCUGUUUUAAUAUUUUAUUCUCUUUAGAGAAAAAAAAGCAUAAUUGGAAGGAGUGUGUGCUAUUCACCAGCUCUUUUAUGGUUUUUAUACCCUCCAACCCUCCAAACACAGGGUGGAGGAAGUGACAUGGGUUGCUUUAAAGAUCCUUACUAAGUUUAUUAUUCCCUAAACAAUCUUGUACUCUCAGCUCUCUCACAGUUAUUGCUGAUGUCUCUCAGAUCACAGAAGUGUCUCGUUUGUUACUUUUUUAAAUGUAUCUAACUCUUAGUGUUAUGGCUGUAAAAUACUAGGAUUCUUUCAGUCCAGAAACACUGUAAGUCAGUAGCGCAGUGGGUCAUCAAACUGUAAAAAAAACAGAACUAAACCAAACCAGUCCUUCAGUCAUGAUAUUUUAAAAGAUUGAACAUAUUGUUUCAUGCUUGUUUUUAGUUUGGGGGUGGUUUCCUGAUACAGAAAUUCCAGAGACCUGUCUUUGCAAAGUAGGAAAAUAAAUAAGAUUCUAGGUCUCCAAUAUUCAGUAUUUAUAAAAAGCUUUUUAAAGACUCCAGGGUAGAUUUCUUUCACCAUUUUUAUAGAAUGCAUACAAUAAAUAAUGACUUUUUAAAAAAACCUACAAAAACUAUUCAUAUUUUACAAGUUUAUCCAGGAUUUGCCUUCUCUGAACCAACAAGAGGCUUAGAUACAUUGAUCAGGCCAUAUUCUAAAUGGAUCCAAUUGGAGAUGUACUUUUGUUUCCGCAUAUAAAUAAAUAAAAACUGCUCAUACAUUUGAGAGACAGCUUUUUAUUAUAUUUUAUAUAUAUCUUAUCUUGAUUUUAACACCACUUCUACAAGCUCCCGGCAGCCCAAGAAAUCCUAGGUGGGUAUUAUUCCACCAGUGCUGGCAUCAAAGAGCAGUUGGCCUGCUCUGUACUUGUAAGUACAUUUUCAAUUAAUUCCUAUGAAACAAUUUAUACAAAGAGUACUAUAUGGUUGUUUCUGUUCUUUUUGAGUUUUGGAUAUCCCUGACGAAGAGAUACUCACCAUAUAUCCCAUAAGCGGGCAUUAUACCGCUGUGUGCGCUUUACCCUAGAGCUGGACUGAAGCUCUUAAAAAUUGUGAGAUCUCUACCAUUACUUGAAUUUUAUUUCAUCUGAGCUAUACAUAUUGCACUAUCGACUGUUCUCUCUUUUUUAUCUUUUAUAUUAUACCUGAAGACUUUAUUCCCGGAUCCAAAGACGACAGAGAGGACAUUUAGGUUGGAUUUUUCUUUGAAUAUCUGUUACCACUAUUGGAACUGGACAUUGUUUAUUUAAUGUGGCGCAGCCCUCUUUUUAUAUUUUGUUUUUAUCAUUCAUUUGAAAAUGGCUAGACAAAUACAGUAGUACUUUUUAUAUUAGAGCCCACGCGCUAUUGACUUUUAAAAGAAAAGACAUACUUCAUUUUGCAUUUAAAUAUUCAACUCAAAUAUCUAAGCUGCUGUUUCUAGAAAGUAUAGACCAUGUCUUUUUGUGCAAAUCAAACAACAUGGUAAUGACUAUUAAUGAAAAUAUCUUUCUUGUAUAUUUCUUUUGAUAUAUAGAUUUUGCUUCCCAAUAUUGCUUCCUCUUAAUUUAAAAAUGCAAACUUCCUCUGUUUAAAAAUGAAAACAACAUGAUUUAGGAUGUUAGAAUUCAUCUACGCUGGUGUAAAUUCUUUUAUUUUUAUUUUUUAUUUUUUAUUAAGAGUGUAUAAAAUCUUCUCUAAUAAAAACCUAUAUUAAAAAAAAUAAGGUUAAGACAUUUGAUACACUUUAAAACAAGUUUAAUGUUUUUAGAACUUUAUAAUAAUGAUGUAUCUCACCUACAAGUCAAUGUUAAUCAAGUCAUCAAACUUCAUUUGAGUUCAGCAUGACCAAAGGAUGAAUAUAUUUAUUUGUUUGUGGUGUUUAAAAUUGGAAUGCAUUAUAUAAUUUGGUUUCCCCAUUCUUGUGGUGCUAUGUACUGUUUUAAAGAGCACACAUUUAUUAAGCAAUUGUUGUAUUUGUUUUAUUUUGUCUGGUUUAGCUGGCGACCAGACAAUCAAAAAUCAAAAAAGCGAAAAAAACAGUCAGGCAGAUUCACAUAAAUAUAGAGGGAAAUUAGUUAGAAAACAAGUAUUUACAUAACCACUAAGCCUUGGAAGGUACAAUCAGAAUGCUGACACAAGAGGUAAAAAAUUUAAUUCUGCUCAUUGCUUUGCAUUGACAGUAGUUUGGAUUUGUCACAUUUUCCACUUCACAUACUGCCUUUUUUAAUAUUACAAAUCCAUAGCUUAUUUAUUUCAGAAAAAGUUAUAUUUUUUAAGAAUAUCUUGAGAAAUUGAGAAAUUCCCCUAGUCUACCAUAAAAUAAGCACUGUGCAAAAUGAUUACUGUUAUUAAUUUUAUUAUUAACUUUUAUUUGUAGAUAAUAUUCUAAAGACUUGAAUACAGAUGUUUCCAAUGCUUUGUGUCCUCAGACACCUCCCAAAUUCGUAAAAUAAGCUUCAGGGUGUUAUUUUGCUUAUUUGAUUGAAAGAUUAUCAAGUUUUUGCCAUUUUUUAUUUAAAUACUUUUAUAAGGGAUUUGGAAAAAAAUUAUUGUGUAAAUAGUGUAAAAAAGUAGCAGUAACAAAUUUAUCAAGGGAAUUCAAUUUGGGGGAACAGACAAAGUUAUUUAGAUAAGUGAAAUUAUUAUUUGAUAAUUUAGAGAUUAUAUAAAUAUACUUCAAAUAAUCAUUGUCAUUUGCUGCCAUUUUCAACGCACACUUAUAAAGAAUGUGUAGUUACAUAGUUGCAGAGUAUUCUAGCUUGAGAAAAAGAAGCUGAAGUCCAUUGAGUUCAACCUUGAAAUCCAUUGUUUUAUCCUGUUUAUUCAAAAGAAGGCUAAAAAACCCAAACCCAAUUGUAGCCACAAAAAUCCAAUUAUGGAUGGAAAAAAAUCCUUCUCGACUCCUUAACAGCAGUCAGAAAAUCUGAUAAAACAACCUCUUUAGGUAGAGAAUGCCACAUCUUUAUUGUUCUUACUGUAAAGAACCCUUUCCUCUGCUGUAGGUAAAAACGCCUUUCUUCCAGUCUCAAUGGGUUACCUCUUGUCUGUUGAACCAAAACCCAAAAAUAGUGUUGUACUCUUUGUCCAAGCCCUUUAAUUGAGAAACGCCUCACACUUUAUUGGGAUUUACUGGGGUUUUCUCUGUUGUAUAUUCCUCUUGAUGAACAGGUUAGCACAUAGUAGUUUGACCCUGUAAGAUAAUUCAAAUCCGUAGUCAACUAACUAUUCCUUAAGACGCCGGAUAUAAGAGAGAUUUUCACUCAAAUUCAAUUUAACAUUCCAGUGAAGUUCAUUUUGCUGGCUUAUAGAAAAGGGGGCGGUUUACAAAGUCGUCCACUAAUGUAUAUCCCUAUAUACUUAAUUCCAUGCGGUUAAAUAAGAUCUCUGUAUAAAACAUUGUUGAUAGUUUCAUUUUAAUAGAAAAGGGAAGACUAGCUUAAUAAAGUUGUAAAAAGUUAUCUAUUUUCUCCCAACCCUAAUAAACCAGCUUUUUUUUUUACAUGUAUUGGUUGCAUUUUAUUAUGCUACAUUUUUUUAUUUUUAAAUUUUCAGUUUUAAUUUUGAACUGUAAUUACCAUAGCAAAGUGCAAUAAUUAUUGUGCAUAUUUAAAUGGAAUGUUCCCUUUCAGAAAUGUUGCGGGAGGGAAAACAAAAUCUAGGCAAAUGUGAUGUGUGAGUCCUAUCUAGCUAAUUUGUACAUACUUACAAUACAAACAAAUAUCCUAAAUAAUACAAGUUUGUUAAAACCAAGUUAAAAUUGUCGAUUGCUUACAUGAAAGUGAGCGUGAACUCUUCACCAUUACACGCUCUGUUGCUUAGAGAGAAUGCAUUCUUGGUGGUUGUGUGUGGUUGACAAGCUCUGGAUACACUGUAGAUAUCAGAGUAUUAUGUAAAAUGUUAAUGAACGGAGAAUACUAACUAGCUUUAAUUUUUUGCUUCUGCUUUGUCAUGUUUGACAACUGUGAGCUCUAUUCUUUACACAUAAUUCCUGCUUCAGUGGUUUCCCUUGAAAACGUGCCAAGCACAAAAGAGAAGCCAAUUGAAUAAACUGCUCAUUUUUAAUAAGAAGCAUAAUUAAAUAUGCAAGUAAUUAAAUGGUAUCAUUAACCUUAGUAUGCAGAUAAGCUUCUUAAAAGCUUUUCCUGCUGCAUUUAAUCUACACAUACAUUAAGAUCAAAGUCUCUCGUUGUUGAUUUCUUGAGUAGGCUAUGAAGUGGUUAGUGCUUCAUAGAAGUGUUAUUGGCCUUUAAAAUACUGGUUUCCAUCUGUCUUUAUUUUUCAUGUCGAUUCAACGCAUAAUGCCUCUUGGAAGAACAUAUCUUAUGAAGAAAAUGCAGUAAUAAAGUGAAAUAUCGCUUUCACAUAAAAUAAAUCUUUUUUUUUUUUUUUCUUUCUUUUUUUCAAGUGCACUGCUGGGUGUCCCACAUGUUAGAGUACCAGAAUUAAUAGGAUACAGACUUUGGUUUUUUUAGUCCCACUGAGCUUCUUAUUUCAGUAGAACUAGGUUUGAUUACUGUUUGCUGGUGGAGAUAAGAUUUUUUUUAUACAUUAUAUGUUCUGUCCUUACGUUUCAAGUUUAGCAUCAUAUUAUAUAAUAUUCAAUCAACCAUAUAUUUUCCUUAAACUUCUCAACAUGAACAAGCAUCACCCAUACAAGUGUAAUAACAACUACAUAAAUUAGAUUUGUUAUAACUACAUCUCCCCAUCUAUUGCUUAUAACCGUUCAUAGCAGUUCACAUUUAUUUUUUAUUUUUUAAUUAGCACUAAAUGCAUCUUAUCCGCAUAAACUCAUCUUGGUUAGUGUAAUUUUUGAGAUAAAAUACUGGGAAGGAAGUGUUUAGGAGUUUUGAAUAAGAAACAUAUCAGGAACACUAGUAUUAGAUCGAUUUCUAUUUUCAGCACCAGUUGAUAUCCUCUAUCAAAGCAAUGUUUUAAACUGUUGAAUUAUUAUUCAGUGUUUGCAAGGUUGCAGGCCAAAAUGGAAUGGAAAAUGUAUCUAACUUGAAGCAAUUUUCCAAAUUUGUUAUUUAGGCUAAAAUGUGUAUUUCUGAAAGUUUACAUUUGUUAAAGAAUAACACUGUUUACACUUUGUUUACAGAGUUAUGGAUUAUGUUUAGACCGCAAGUUAUAAACAAACAUUACGAUACAAGUUCUAAACAUGUCCUAAUACGUAAAGGUUAAAAAAAUAUAAUUGAUGCUCAGGAGAUAAAAUGUCCUCUAAGCCGACCUCCUUAUGCUACAAACUUCUCCAAACCCAGACAUACACACAGCUACCAUACUUUACCAGAUGAUGGAGGGAACAUUUAGACAAAGACCUAGAGGAAGGAGACUGGAAGAGCAUAUUUUCAUGCACACUCUAGUGUUCCGCUACAGGACAUUAACUAUAAAUUUGUCUCCAAGUGGUAUACCACCCCGGUGGACAUAAAUAGGUUUGACACUAACACAUCCCCCAACUGUUGGAGAUGCGAGACAAAGGCACCUUCCACUACAUAUGGUGGACGUGUAGCGGAGUAUCAGGCUUCUGGAAAGAAGUUUGGAAUACCGUCAAUUUAGUAACAGACAUGACUAUACCCUUUAACCCAGAGGCACUUCUCUUAUACCACUUCAAAAUACCACACCGAAAAUUCAAACACUCCCUUAUUUAUGAAAUUUUCGGUGUGUUAUCUAAAGAUUUAACACUUCCACAAGAUGGAGGAAUUGAGAUGGGGGUCCUUAGACAAAUACCAUAGAUAGAUAAAUGGCAGCCUUGGAAACACUUCCUGUAGGCGAUCUAGGCUCAAGACCAAAUCCGGACACUCUGACCCAACAGGUACAUAAAGACAUAAGAGAUAUGUGGGACAAGGAAAGGGGAUAGGGGGGAAAGCGGGGACCGGUCCACAAGUCCACUCUCUCAACCCCAAUGGCUAACUCACCAUGCCUUAACAGGUUUGGGACAGAAUGAUUCCCAGAAAAAACUUUACAUACGAGCUACAAUAAAAACCCUUUUACACACGAGAAACAAGGGACAUAAAUUAAUUAUAUACCUGAAUAAUUAUGAGAAACACCAUCAUGACUUAGGCCAUACUCAAUUGUUACUGAUAACGUGAAAACUCUAUAGGAUUGUGUACUGUUGCGAUGUAUAGUACUGUUUUUUUUUUUAAUAACUUUUAUUUCUACACUGAUGUAAUACAAUGUUGACAAUUUUGUAUUACUGUACUAUCGAAAUGUGAUGUGAUAUGCACAAAAAAUAAAAAAACAAUAAAAAUAAAAUAUAUAUAUAUAUAUAUAUAUAUAAUUUGUGUUUGAAUACUGAGUUUAACUUGUGUUGUUGCUAUUGGGUGGUACUCUCCUAUACUACAGUAAACUAACAGUAAUGUUUAGGAUACUUUAUAUUGGGUUGUCAUGGUCAGUCACUAUAGCACAUUGGCUAACUUUCCUUACCUUUCUUAAAGGAACACUAUAGUCACCUAAACAACAUUAGCUUAAUGAAGCAGUUUUAGUGUAUAGAUCAUGCUUCUCAGGUUUCAUUGCUCAAUUCACUGCCAUUUAGAAGUUAAAUCACUUUGUUGGGUUUUUUUUUGCAGCCCUUUUCACACCUCCCCUGGCUCUGAUUGACACACCCUGCAUGAAAAAAAAAUGGUUUCACUUUCAAUCAGAUGUAAUUUACCAAAACAAUUAUAUCUCUUUCUCUGUAAAUUGAACUUUAAUCACAUACAGGAGGCUCUUACAGGGUUUAGCAAGCUAUUAACAUAGCAGGGGAUAAGAAAAUCAAAAUUAAACAGAACUUGCAAUAAAGGAUAAACUUUAGAUGACUCUUUACAGAAAGUGUUUAGGAAGGCUGCGCAAGUCACAUGCAGGAAGGUGUGACUAGGGUUCAUAAACAAAGUGAUUUAACUCCUAAAUGGCAGAGAAUUGAGCAGUGAGACUGCAGGGACAUGAUUUGUACACCAAAACGGCUUCAUUAAAGGGACACUCCAGGCACCCAGACCACUUCUGCCCAUUGUAGUGGUCUGGGUGCCAACUCCCACUACCCUUAACCCUGCAAGUGUAAUUAUUGCAGUUUUCAUAAGCUGCAAUAAUUACCUUGCAGGGUUAACUCCUCCUUUAGUGGCUGUCGUGACAUCAGCAACUUGGGGUGGGGUGUGGGAGGGAGAGGGGGACCUGCCGUGGCAGGAAAACAGUUUGUUUUCCUGGCACUGGAGAGUCCCUUUAAGCUAAAGUUGUUUUGGUGACUAUAGUGUCCCUUUAAUCUACCUUAUGUCUUAACAUUUUGCCUUAUUUUCAAAAGUCAAGUAUUUUUAUAAAUUGGCAUGAAGCUAAUUGUUUUCUGUCCUGGACAUUAGACUUGUACAUGUACAUAUGGUUUCAAGUAAGUUGGGAUCCAUCUGCAUUUUUUGUGACCAGUGGUUAUACCAUAUUCCCUAACUCAGAAAUGCUGUAUGGAUGUAUAAUAAAACAAAAUAGACAGUGGAUAGAUAGUGUUUUUUGUUGUUUUCAUGAUUUCUUUAUCUGGUAUGGGUGCCAAAUAAAAAGACGAUUGUUGGUUAGGGAACAGCCACUAAAUCUUGGUUUUAUUCGCAUAUCAAGUGAGAAGUGACCAACAAAAGGGAACAAAGAAUGAGCAGUAAAAAAAAAAUAAAACAUUUAAAAAAAUUCUGAAUUUAUAUAUUAUAUAUUUAAUGAAUAUUAAUAUAUAAAUAUAGAUAUAUUUUUUUUUACUGCUCCUUUUUUUUUCCCUUCUAUUGGUUACUUCUUCUCACUUGAUCUGUGAAACAAAUGGCAGGAAAAUUAGCCUAGCAGUGCACUGCAAAAUCUAUCUAUUUAGAAACAACUGCAUGGAUAAAAUUUGUCUGAGCAGACACAUCACAUGCAUGAAUUCUGAAUCAACUAAACCAAUUAUUUUUUCACCCAAAUUGGUUUGGCUGAACUGAAUAUUUCUGCCAUAGUAAUAUGCGGUAAGGUGCAGCAAUGCCCCAACUGCCUAUUUGAAGGAUGAACACACAGCCUCCCUGGUCCUUCUUUUCUCUCUCUACUCAGGGCUGGAUUAAGAGCACAGUGGGCCUGGUGCUGACAAUUAUGAUGGGCCUAAUUACGGAAUCGUAUCCACCAAAAACACUAAAACAGUCAUGUAUCUGAUGGAGAUGGUGCUGGAGGGAAACUCAUAGAAUGCAGCUAUACGAAAACACAUACUCUAUGCUAAUCUUUCUCUAAUUUAUGCUUUCAUCUUUCAAGUCAAUCCAUAACCCCUAACAGCAGUGUCCAGUGAAGCAGGAAGUCAAUGGGUGGGGUAAAAGGGUGUGCCACUGGCGCGAAUCACGUGACAAGACCUGCCAAAAGGGGGGCAUGUUUGUCCAAAGAAUUGGAAGGUCAGCCUGGCAUGAAUGCAUGUCAGGCUGCCUGCCAAUCCUGCAGGCUGUCCAACUAAGGGCAUACUAUGCAGGCAGCACCUUGAGCUUGACAUAAAUGCGUCUAAUAAUGCGCUCACUCCAUGCUUUCUAAGGACUUUCCCCUAGCACUCACUGGUCCACUUGUCUCCUUACCUUCUUACUAGCAGGCAGAAGACCUUGGUAUAUAGUCUGAGACAGGGAAAAGGUGUAUGCAGUGAGUGUAGUGUAUGUAGUGAGUGUAGAAGAAAGGGGACAUGCCACAGAGACCAACGUCUGCAUUACCUAAACUAACUGUAAUGUCAGCCAGUGCACACAAGUUUUGUUCCCAUACAUCCCUCUUAAGCUUCCAAACUUAAAGGGACACUAUAGUCACCAGAACAACUACAGCUUAUUGUAUUUGUUCUGGUAAGUAGAAGCAUUCCAUUCAGGCUUUUUGCAGUAAACACUGUCUUUUCAGAGAAAAUAACUCCAUUGGCCGCUCCUUAGAUGGCUGCUAGAGGUGCUUCCUGGGGCAGUACUGCCUAGUCUGCAGCACUGCCAUUCAGUGUCUCCACCCUCUGCAUGCAGACAUUGAACUUUCCUCAUAGAGAUGCAUUGAUUCAAUGUAUCUUUAUUAGGAGAUGCUGAUUGGCCAGGGCUAUGUUGGACUUGUGCUGGCUCUGCCCCUGAUCUGCCUAGUUGACAGACUCAGACAAUCUUAUGGGGAAGUAUUGUAAUUUGCUCAGACCACCACUUCUGAGCCAGCAGCUGCAGACUUGAAUACAAGUAAUAUUUUACUAUAUUUAGGGAGGCAAGAAGAGGCCAGGGUGGUGGUUUUAACAGAAUAGGGUCAGAAAUACAUGAUUGUGUUACUGACCCUAUAGUGCUCCUUUAAGCAAGAAUAUGUGAAGAGUAGUUAAGGUUGCCACCUUUCUUGGAAAAAAAUACCAGCCUUAAUCAUUUGUAUAAUUAAUUAGUUAUGCGUGACAUCACAUGAUGUAAAUCACAAGGAGUGACAGCAGAGAAAAUUCUGUAAAAUCACCAACAAACUACUCACAGUUUGAGUCUGCUGUAUAGAUGCAUUGCUCCCAGUGUCUCAGUCUCGCAAGUCACCCAGUGUCUCAGUGUCCCUAUGUAUCACAGUGUCAGUGUCCCCAUGUCGCCUAGUCUCCCAGUGUCUGUGUACCCAUUUCUCCCAGUGUCCCAAUGUCUCAGUGUGUCCCCAUGUCACUAGGAUACUGGGGACACAGAGACAUGGGGACACAGAGACAUAGGGACACAGAGACAUUUAGGGAAACUGGGAGAAAUGGGGACACUGAGACACUAGGGACACAGACACUGGGAGACAUGGGGACACUGAAACAUUUGGGGACACUAAGACACUAGGGACACAGAGACAUGGGAACAGACACUGGGAGACUAGGGGACACUGUGAGACUAGGGGACACUGGGAGACAUGGGGGCAGUUGUGGACAUAGACAUGGGGACACUGGGACAUAUAGGGACACUGGGAGACAUGGUGACACCAGGCACACUGAGACACUAGGAACACAGACACUGGAAGACAUGGGGACACUGAAACAUUUGGGGACCCUAAGACACUGACACAGAGACUAGGGGAUACUGGGAGACUAGGGGACACUGGCUGGGAGACAGACAUUUGGGGAUACAUGGGGACAGUUGUGGACAUAGACAUGGGGACACUGGGACACAUGGGGACACUAGGCACACUGAGAGACAUGGGAUACAGACACUGGGAGACUUGGGGACACUGAGACACUAGGGACACUGGCUGGGGGACAUGGGAACAUCGUGUCUCCGUGUCCCAAUGUCUCCCAAUGUCCCUAUGUCUCACAGCAUCCCCAUGUGUCCCAGUGUCCCCUAGUGUCUCAGUGUCCCCAUGCUUUCCAGUGUCCCCAAGUGUCUCAGUGUCCCCAUGUGUCUGUGUCCCCAGGUCUCCCAGUGUCUGUGUCCCCAUGUGUCCUAGUGUCCCAGUGUCCCCUAGUGUCUGUGUCCCCUACUGUCUCAGUGUCCCCAUAUGUCCCCUAGUGUCUCAGUGUCCUCUAGUGUCCCGGUGUCUCCAUGUUUUCCAGUGUCCCCAAGUGUCUCAGUGUUCCAAGGUCUCCUAGUGUCUGUGUCUUAGUGUCUCAGUGUCCCCUAGUGUCUGUGUCUCCAUGUGUCCCCUAGUGUCUGUGUCCCCUAGUGUCUGUGUCGCCAUAUGUCCCCUAGUGUCUCAGUGUCCCUGCUGCCUUUCCCCCCAUCCCUCACUUACCUGAGCUGUAGAGCUGCUGUCUGGACUCUAUGCUGUGUAGCUGCUCCCCCACAGAUCAGUGAGUAGUAGAGAGGGGCAGGGAUAUUCUGUAACUUCCUAUACCUGCCUCUCUCCACACACAGUGACCCCUACUGGCUGAUGCUGGUAUUGCAGAGUAAUUUCCAUUUAUUCUGAGAAAAUUACCUGCAUUUGUAUUGCCGGUAUUACUGCAAUACUGGCACGGCAGCCUCAAAUACCAGCUGUGCCAGUAAAAUACCAGUCAGGUGGCAAACCUAAGAGUAGUGUGUAAAAAAAAAAAAAUAUAUAUAUAUAUAUUUUUUUUUUUUUAAAUGGGCCUAUUCCAUGGGCCUGGGCCUGGGCCUGGAGCUGCAGCUCCAUCAGCCCCUAUGUUAAUCCGGCCCUGCCUCUACUGAAGCGAACUGCCCGAAGGCUGGUGAGGAAUAUCUUUGAUCUCCUCACUGGCCCGAGAAGGCAUAUAUUAAAGCUGGUUCUGCAUGGACCAGCAGGGUAGAUGAAAGGAUCUUCCCAGUCAGCCUCAGCCCAUGGGCAUCAUGGUGGGGCCCUUAAUGCUUGCGGGGUCCCCAGGCAACUGCCCAGCGUGCCCAUGCGUAAAGACCCUAUACAAGGCUACUGAACAUCAUUUACUACUCUUGAUGUUAUCAUGUAAUUCAUUCAGCUGAAUCUCUUUCCCCGAACCAAUGAACUACAAAGUAUAGUUUUUAUUUUUUAUAAUUCUUUAUUUUUGGUGUAGAAGUAAUCAUACAGCAAUCAUAAGGUGCAAUAAACAAGCAUACAAUUUCCCAAUUUUUUUUGUAAAUGAGCGUAAAAUGCACAGAUAAUAACAUAUAAAGGAUAAUACGGUGGAGUAACAAGUGCUAUGCUGAGCAGAGGUAUUAAGGGUGAAAUAAGCGGGGCCCCUGGGGCCAUGGUGAGUAUAUUCUUGCGGUGAGUAGGGUAGGCUUAGGGCAUAUGACUCCAGUAACCUUAACUGCUGGUAGGUGCUGGUGGGUGAGGGCUAGAAGUGGUGUAAACCAGGUGAACCUGGCUCGGAUAUGCGUGCAAUAGGUUAUCAGGGAGAAGGUGGCCCACACCUAUGUAUGGGGGUUUACAGACCCCAUUGUCGGUGGGGUUAUGUCCCUAAAGGGGCCGUGAUGUAGCGUGUUAUGUUUAUACCUUCAGUGAUCGGAUUGUCUGCUCGUGCUGCUGUCAGCAGCGGGUUCCAGCCAUGUAAGGGUAUGAGCCUAUGGCUUUUUGAGGUAAAGUGUGGAUAGAUGUGAACUAAGAAAGGGCAUUACAAAUGUAGACUUAAACUUAAAACCAACAGUGGCUUUAUAAAAUGUGUGGCAAAGCCUGUCUAGGGGCGAGUCCACAGUGCAUCCUUGAUGCCAGGUAUUGACAGUUCCUGUAGUUCAGUCGACUGGACCCACUGCAGUGGGGUAGGAGCCUCUCCUCGGCUUGAAUGGGGUAAUGUUAUCCCCAUCCCAUCAAUAGUGACUGUCUCUCAUUUGUUCCACUGGCGUGGUCAUACCCUGCUGAAGCAGAAACUGCUGACCUUCUGCUGGUGAAUUAUGUUUGUAGAUUGUCCCAUCUUUGGUGACCUGUAAGGAGUGCGGUUAGCCCCAGCGGUAUGAGAUCUUCCUCCUCCUCAGCACGCUAGUGAUGGGUCACAUCGAUUGCCUCCAGAGCAUGGUAGAUCUGGACAAAUCAUUAUAGAAUGCCAGAGUGUGUUGCUCGAAGGCUAGGGAGGGUGAGUCCUGGACCACUGACUGCUAUCUUGUCCAGGUGCGUGACAAAUUAAAUGAUAACAGUGCUGUGUACCUGCUGGGGUGGCCUGCCCUGUCUGCAGAUUCUGUAAAUAUUGUCCACGAGAAUGUUUUUAGCCUGCUUGUGGGGUAACAUAUGCUGUAGCAGGCGUCUCAGGAAUUGUGGCAGUUCAGUCUGCUCCACGGUGUUUGGUAUGCUUCUGAUUUUAACGUUUUUGCGGCAGCUGCGGUCUUUGUAUUCUGCCAUCUUUUGUGCCAUGUUUGUUUAGGAUGCUUUAAUCUGCUUCUGUUCUGCAGCAAUUGAGACUUGCUCAACAUUGAAGUGGGAGGACGUCUUCUCUGUGGCCUUUAUUCUCCCGGUGAGCGAGAGCAUGUCCUCUCGUAGGAUCGCUAGGUCGGCCUGGAGCAUCUUGCAUAUAUCAAGUAGCAGUAUUUUAAUUGCGCCCUUCAUGGCUGGUGUGUUGGCUUCCGGCUGAGGGGAUAUCCUCCAGUGUAUCUAGGGUUCCUCCUUGGACGAUGAGUCCUCCGCAUGUUGCUCUGCCAUCUUGGGUGCCAUGCAUGGGAGGCCUACCUGUAUGUUAUCCCCAAUAUAUAAGAGCCAAUAGCCGCUUUAUUCUUUUUGGCCUGUUUUCCCAUUGCGUUAUGGAGGUGAAGGGUUGGUUUUCCACCAAACACCCAGUUUGUUGUGUUUUAGUGGCUUAGCGAUACAGAGCCUCUGUUCUGCACAUCUGCUCGCCUACUCCCCCUACUCCCCCCCAUAGAUUUUUUUUUUAUCCCUAGCUAAACAGCUGUAUGCUAGAGAAUUGCUUCAAAAGAGUAAUUAGUUCAAAAGGAUACUAAGCCCCAAAGAUUAGUAUAGUUUAAUAUAGUAGUUUUGGUGCACAAUCUUUGUCCCUUUUCUCCAGUAAUAUAAAACAUUACUGUUUCUGUGAAAUUAUAAUGUUUACAUUUGUUAGAGGGCACACCUCUAGAGGUACUUCCUCAUGAAGACCUUUGAAGAUUGAAGGUCUUAACAAUUUCCAUUAUCACCACAGCAUGACAACACUGAAAAGUUUUAAUACUUUGUCAUACAGAAUCACGGGUUCUCUAUAAGAGGCACCGGGCACGUUGAUUGCACAUGACCCUUAAGUCCCAAAUGUUUUUUGGGGGGAUUUUUAUAAUUUUUAAAUGGAGGGUAGUAUUGUAAAUCAAUAAAGGAACACACUAAGGUUACAAAUAAGUGAUUUUUUGUAGUGUGACACAAACCUUUUGAAGCCACAGUUUUCUAGGGUCAAAGAAUGUAGAUUUCAGUUUACAUUUAUUUAUUUAUUUAUUUAUUUAUAAAAUAUUUUACCAGGAAAGAUACAUUGAGAUUUCUCUCAUUUUCAAGUAUGUCCUGGGUCCACAAAUCAUUGCAUUGUUACAUUAGGGUACAAUAAAAUACAAAACCAAUAUUAAUACACAAUAAAUAUAAAAUUUAACAUAGAACAGGUAGGAAAUAUAUAAUCAACCAUGACAAGUGCAUUCUGUUUUGAGGUCUGUAGAGAGGGAUCUCUUAAAGGACUUUAGGCUUAGGGAAGAUUUUAAAUUGUGCGGGAGGUCGUUCCACAAUUGCGGUGCUCUGUAGAAGAAGGAGGAUUGGGCUGCUUUCUUUUUGUAUUGAGGUAGACUAAAUAAAGUGUUGGUACUGGUUAUAUGAAGUGGGAACAGUUGGGGAAAGCAUUUUGUUCAGGUAGGGUGGGAGUUUCCCAGAAAAGCUCUUAAACACAAGGCUGGAAAGAUGAAGGGUGUGUCUGGAUUCCAGCGACAGCCAGUUUAGUUCUUUUAGCAUGUCACAAUGGUGAGUCCUGUAAUUACAUUGUAGCACAAAUCGGCAGAACGAGUUAUACAAUGUGUUGAGUUUAUUAAUGUGGGAUUGCGAUGCAGAUGCAUAUACUACAUCCCCAUAAUCAAUGAUUGGCAUCAGCAUUUGCUGUACAAUCUUUUCCUUUAGUGUAGGGCUUAGGCAGGAUUUGUUUAUGUACAGGGCACCUAGUUUUGGAUAAAGUUUAGAUGCAAGCUUUUCUGUGUGCAGGCCAAAAGAUAGAUUGGGGUCUAACAUCAUACCCAAGUAUUUGAAAGAGUGGACUGCAGUCAGUGUGCCAUUUGAAUUUGUUUUGAUUGAUAGGUGGGAAUUGUGUAAUUUGUGUAAUUUAGGUACUGUUCCAAAGAUCAUUGUGACAGUUUUGUCAGUGUUCAGGAAGAGUUUGUUUUUUGCGAUCCACUUUUCUACCUCUGUAAACUCGUCUUGGAGCACAGCCUCAAGCUGCAGUAGAUUGGAUUUGCUCGCAUAGAUUACUGUGUCAUCUGUGUACAUGUGUACAUUUGAGGAUUUGCAGACAUUAGGCAGAUCAUUUAUAAAUAAUGUAAAUAGUAGGGGGCCGAGAAUGGAACCUUUCGGAACACCACACGUGACUGGGAGAGGGAGUUGCUGUCAGAAAUGGACACAUAUUGCGAGCGAUCCGAUACAUACGAUCGAAACCAGGUUAGCGAACGAUCACCAAUACCUGAGUUUUUGAGUUUGUGCAGUAGAAUGACUGUAGUACAUGUGUUAUUUUAUGUCCUAUAGACAACUAUUACACCAACAAUCACACAAAAGAGUCCAUAUAUUGGAAACAUCCUUUCUCUCUUCUAUUGGAGCAAAGGUUUUAGCAAAUAAAAUCUGUUUUCUCUUACUGUAAUCUUUUUUUCUUGGCUGAAUAAAUCUAGUCUAGCUCCUUUUUUAAAACCUGGUCUGGAUUCUAAAAACUACAGUUAAUACAGUAUGUGUGUGAGAUUGCUCUCCCACACUGCUCUGUACAUUCUCCACACCAAUGACCCAGAACAAUAUUUAUUCACACACAGAAUUGUAUAGACCACUUUCCCAGUGGUAUCAAUUGGAGAAAACACAGCUAAUCAAAGUUGGUUUGAUAUUUUCCCAGCCAAUGUCAAACUAGGUUUUCUGUCCUAUUUUAUCUUGUCUUAAGCCAACUACGUCCUUGAUUUAAUAAGCUUUCUAAAUUAUUUAAUACUGUUAGAAAACCUUUCAAACGGUUUAUCUACAAAAUUGCUCAUAGACUUUAAUAGUGACUUCUCUAUGUAAAUCAUUUGAAAAGUUUCUUAACAGUAUUGAAUCAUUUGGAAAGCAUAUUAAAUCGAGGCCUUAUUCAGAGAAUGUGUUUUAAAAAUAAUGGUUCCUUUCAAGUAAAUUAAGAUUUCUAGUUACAAUUAUCUCUUUAAUGUGUUACCCAAUUUUGCAUCCCUGUAUUACUAGCAAACCAAUUUUCAAGUUGCCAUUUAGUAUUUUGAUUACUAAAUGAUCAAAGUAAUUAGAACGUUGGUUGCCAGCCAGAGCCUAAUAAUUGAGGAAAUUAUCCUCUUGGUGCGAGUUUCUUAAAUUAGAUUUUUUUUUUCACUGCAACAUUAAUCACAGUCAUAACCAACUCAAACAGUUUCAACUGAUAUGUUUCACAUAAACAAAGGCAUUUGUAGAGACAAUUGCCUGAUUGAUCUCAAAUUUCUACUUAUUCAGCAAUUUUACAAAAUUCAUUUUUUUGUAUAAUAAUAAUAAUGUAUAUUAAUCGGUACAAAGAUUUUAAGAUCCUAACUGUAGAAGAACAUUUAUUUGUUUAUGAAAUGUAUUUGUUUGUUUCUCUGUCUAUCUCUUUAUGUCUAGACUGUGCCUUUCAAGCUCAUCCCACUCUUCACUGAGUUACUAAUCAAAAGACUGAGAGACAGAAGACUCAUUUCAUUAUCUGAGCAGGUAGCGGCUCAUACAGCACUGUUCAAAGCUCAUCUCUUAUUAGGGAAAUCAAAUCCCCACCAACUGGCCCAACUUUAUGGCUGGCGAGAGAGCACUUUGAUUGUGAUUGUUUUCUUUCACUUCAUAGUUGACAGUAGUUUUUUUGUAUGUUUUCUGAUGGUGUCACAUUGUAUCAUUAGUGCAAAGAUUAUGUGAGCAGCAAAUCUCAAAGUCAAUGUCUGUGAAACAGACAUUACCAAAAAAAAAAGGAGGGCCCUUAUAAUGGCGUGCUUGGAAUUAAUUGCUCCUAUUGUGCUAAAAUUGGGAUGGAAGAAUAUGUGGGUGUUGGGUCUGAAAACAUUAGAGUUCAGCUGAAAUACCAAGAUGAAGUCUAGAAACAGGAAUGAGAACCUGGAAAAAUAAGGAAAGGUGAUAAUUUGAGGGAAAUAGUUGAAAUAUGAGUCUGGAGUAUAAGAAGGUAGAGGGCUUCUUAUACUAUAAAAAUAUAAGUAAUAUAAUUGUUUUCUGUACAGCCUGCAUGAGAAUGUCCUGAGUCCUUUGCAAAACCACUGACUGGGCCCCCACCCCACCAGCAAAUACAUGAACAAACCCAGAAACACAGUACUUUUCUGAGGGGGAAGACGUCAUCAGCAGAUGCACAAAUUGCUGCUAUUUUGGGCCCUACCUCUCUCUUGUUUUGACACUUUUCAGAAAUCCGAAUCACUUUGGUGCUUCGGCACUUCCGAACUACCGAACUUCAUUACUUCGGAACUUCGGCGUUUCGGGACUUCGGCACUUCGGGCAUAUGAAUGUCUGAAUGGCAUGAAAUUUGUAUGAAUGUACAUUAGGAACGAAAGGAAUUGCACAUGUCUUACUUUAAUUUAUUAGGAACAACUCUUUUUUUUAUUAUUUCUCCCCCAGUACCUCGUAUUAUAUACAUUAGUCCAUUCUUAAUAGAAAAUUUUUGGAAGUGCCUGAACUGAUUUGCAACCAGUCACAAAAGCCAUGUAUAUAUAUUGAAUUUCAAUGCCAAUGUAGCACACCAUAUUUAAUAAUAUAUAAAUGGUAAUAUGGGGCUUGCUUUCAGAAGUUGUGCAUGAAGAGCAAUUCUGGGUUGAUGUACUAUUCAUGGAGAAAUUAGCAGUGACACUAUAUUGGUUUCCAUGACUAUUGCACCACUUAAUACACAAUGCCUACGGAAAUUACUUCAAAGCACUAUGUGAGUCAUUCAUUCUCUUCUAAUGCCUGGGAUAGGUUGCCUUUAAAAUAGCUUACUUAUAUUAAGCUAAAGCAAAUCAUUUGCAGAUGUAGAAUGUAGCUAUUCAAUCAUCUGUCAAAUUUUGGUCAAGCCAUACACUUACUAACCUGUACAUGUGCACAAACAUGUGCAUUGUAGCUCUGCCGUUGCGUCGCAGCCAGAUAUGAUAUGCGGGAGGGCAGACUGGUUGCAGCCACAGCUCAAAGUGGCCCCAAGGAAGGCAUAACGGAUAACUUUCCGGUAUACCAGUCUGGCCCUGUAUAUAUACAUUUAAAUUGAACUUUAUUAUGACGUAAGUUAGUAAAUCUUAAAUGUAAGCUUAAAAGAAAAAGCAGCAUCUCAUGAAAAAGGUCAACACAAGUUAUAGGUGGAAAUUAAAAGGGGAACCAUCACUUCUCUUAAAUUUGAAUAAAACAUAAAAAAAAACAACCCACAAAAACUUUGAAUUAAACAUUGAAAAUCAUCCAUAAGUUAUGUUGACCUUUUUUUCUUUGAUGGUCAUUUUUCUUUCAAAUAUAUAUUAAAGAUUUAGCCAAUGUCAUCACUAAUCACUAAAGGUCAGUGAAGGCACAACCAAGGUACACAUUGUAAAUGAGAAAACAAAAUAGAAAUAUUGUGUUAUUUAUUUUCCUCUCUCUAUGCUUUCCUUAUGCUGUUUGCCAGGUGUUUAUCAUAAUGGCUGAAAGGGUGCCAAGAUCGAGGCACCCAGAUUCAACAUAAAUAAGUGUGAAUUUCUACAAGUAAUUUAGUUUUUUCGAACUUCACAAUUAAUAUUUUUUAGAAUAGGGAUAAUUGACCCCUUUAAGCAAGAACGGAUUUCAAAUAGGUUACCUUAUUCCUUAAUUUAAAAUGCCUAUGGUACUAUGAUGUUUGUACCACUUUAGUCUCGUGAUCUGAUGACUAAUUAUCUAAUUGAAGCUCAUAUGUUUGUGUACCUAUAUAAUAUCUGUGUUGGUUUGUUUGUGUGGAUAAAGCUGAAAAACACUUCUAUUUACCCACUUGAGUGACUGGUUCCUUCUUUGGAACACUAUCCUUCUUUGAAACACGAAGUAUAACUAUAAUAUAUAUUUGUAAGAUUGUAUGCAGUCUCAAUAAUAAACAAAAACAAACUGUUUUAACAAUUCAUUAUGAAGGUUAAUGCAGGUUGCAAAAAAAUACAAUUGAUGGUUAUAUAUGCGAACUCAAGGCACCCAGAAGUAUUAGUUAUAUAACUCUCAAUCGCUGAAUCAAUGUUAAGACCCCAUUUAACUUAAUAAUAACUAUUUCAUAGUACUACAAUGGAUACUUUUUUGGCACUCCAUCUAACAUGAACUAAUGAUUACAUUUCUUUAGCCAACACAAAUAGCUGAGCGUCUUGAGAACCAUAAAACAUAUCUCUUGAGAGAAUUCAGGGUUGUCUGUGAACCUCGACAAUUAUGCUGUCUUGCCUGACAGUCCCCUUUUUAGGUGCCUCUGUCUCUGUCCUUUCCAAUUUCUCAUCCUAUCCAUAUAGGUAUGGUGCAAUGUAUCUCACAUUGGCAAUUUUGAUGUAGUGCUACAGUUGUCCAUGAAAUGUUGUUUGCCUUUGAAGUGUGGAGUACUAAAAUAAAUGAGUAAUUCUGGCAAAUAUUUAACAUACUUUCAGAUCAGAUUCUCCUUAAGCAUCCCAUAUGUUUUUGAGAUACAUUUUCCAUGAUGCCAUGCCAGAUGAUAUAUAUUGAAGUACAUUUACUUAUAUAAUGCUUAAUAAUAAUAAUAAUAAUAAUAAUAAUAACUUAGCAUCUGCACCAAAAAAUAUUUUUAUAAAUGUGUACUAAAGAUUGUCUAAUGAGAAUAAAUGUUGACACCACAGUUACUACAUGUUUGUAGGUAAUGUUUAAAUAUAAAAUAUAAACAUUUUAUAUUUUGUACUAUAAAACCAAGCAGAACAUUAGUGAUUGAACUACCAACUUUUUUUUUUUUUAAAAAGAUACAUCUGUAACAAAUGUUUUCAACCUUUAAUUACAUUAAUCUGCACGCACGCACGCACGCACGCACGCACACUUUUUCUUUCUCUCUCUCUUCAGACCUGUGGAAGAGAGGAAAACUCUUGAAAGCUUGUCUUUGAAAUUUCAUAUUAGUCCAAUAACAAAAGGUAUCAUUGCAUUCUGCAAUACUCUGGUAUUUUUGCAUCUUUUAUAUAUAUAUAUAUAUAUAUAUAUAUAUAUAUAUAUAUAUACACACACUGUUUUGGAGACUCACAUGCAAGCCUAAAGGGGAAUUACUAGCUUCACUGUUCGCAAAGCAUGACAUUUCAAUUGUGCAGCCAAUAAAAGAAUUACAUGAAGAUGACUAAAAUGAUUUAGUGUACAGAGAGCUACAAUGCUAGGGUUACCAUGGUGAACUACUCUCUGUGCAGAAAAAGGUCAAGUGAGGGAGACCUAUCAAUGGAGAACCUUCGGAUGCAUGAUAGAAAAAGAUACUACUCAAACAAUUAUUUAAAAAUAUUUGUCAACCAAUGAAAGCAGUAAAUGGACAUGUUGAAACAAAAAAUGCUGAAUUAGAGAAACAAAUCAAGUUUUUGAACUGUGCAUACAUUGAGGUUACAUAUAAAGAGUCAUUCUUGGGCAAAGUUCUGAAUGAAAUGUUCUCACUGGUUGCUCCAUAACAUAGGAUGUUACCCUGAAAUUGCUCUUUAUAUGCAAUCACCAAUCUAUUUAUCUGUCAUCAUAAAGAUCAGUAAGAUGAGAAUUCUAAAUUUGAUUGACCAAGUGUAUGUGUUCCUGCAGAUGUGAUAAUUUUAGCUUCUUUUUUUGUUUACUUAUAUAUGCUUUGUGCUGUUUCAAUUCUAGCUAUCUGUCUGUAUAUCUAUCCUAUCUUUGUAGCUAUUAUUAUUAUUAUUAUUAUUAGUAGUAGUAGUAGUAUUUAUAAAGCACCAACAAAUUCCAUAGCGCUGUACAAUGGGUGGACUAACAGAUACAUAUUUGUGACCAGACAAGUUGGACACACAGGAACAGAGGGAUUGACGGCCCUACUCAAUGAGCUUACAUGCUAGAGGGAGUGGGGUAUAGUGACACAAAAUUUAAGGCUAUGGUAGAAAAGUAGGUUGCUAUGAUAGUAUUAAUUGAGGGUUAAGUGUUUUGUUUUGAUGACAGUUUCAGGAGAGGAAUCAGGGCGAGAGGAGGGAAAGCUGUUCACAGUUUAAUUGAUAUGCUUUCUUAAAGAAGUAAGUUUUCAAAGAUUUUAUGAAUGAGUGGAGAUUGGGUGAAAGUCUAACAGAGAGGGGAAGGGCGUUCCAUAGGAUGUUCCACAGCUAUUUAUGUAGGAGAAGAUUAUUUUUGGAUGGAUGACAAAGCUGAAUCAAUUAUCAAAUAAAUAAUAAUUAUUUUUAGGCCAAUUUUGUUUGAUUAAUGUUGUGUUAUAAUAUGCUUUUGCACCAGAGAAAGUUCUAUGUUAAUACAGUAACUGUCUUCUGAAUUAUGAAUGCUGUAAGAACAUGAAACCCUAAGGGCGUUGCAUCUACAAUCGAGAGAGGUAAUCAUCAAAUAUUUAAGAUCAAAAUGCAGUAACACAUGCUAGCUGUCAUGUGCACGUUUGCUUAAUGUUAUGAUAAGGUUUUUUUUAUUUUUAUUAUUAAAAACAUCAUAGUAAAGAAUUUUUGUGAAAAUAAUAAUUAAUUCAAGAACGAAUUUCAUAUCUAGCAACAUGAAUCUGGAUAGAGACUUUUUUGGAUAUCCUAAGAAAUCGUAUAUUCUAUAAAGUAAUGUGAAAUAUUCUUCUUUUAUGUUUUAAUUUCAUAUUGUAAUGUAUACGUAUCUAGCUGUUGUCAUAGUAUGCCUUAAAUUUAGUGCAUAAAUCAGUUUGCCGUAAUUCCGAUGUUGCCACAAGGCAUAAAAUAUGACAUUGGAAUAGGCAUUUGGAUAUUAUCAUGCUUAAUAAUUCACUGAGCAUUUGUUUUAUGCAAACUAAUGUCUACUAAUAAAAAUAACAUGCAAGUUACAACUAUGUGACAGUUAAAAAUGUUUAUUUUUUUUCUCAAGCAUUAUGAAAUAUGAAUUAUGCAUUUUUAUAUCUAUAAACACCAGCAUACCAUCAGAUUAUGUUACGCCAACGAAGCCGUUAUUGAUUUUUGUAAUAAUUUUGUAAUAUUGCUACACUGCAGUGUUGAAGCUGCUAAUAUCAUUUUUGCACUGAACUGUAUGCUUUAGAGACAAUAUUUGAUAUCUCAUAAACAGCAGUUAAAACAUUAGCUUUCUACCCGCGAUCACUGCUGUAUAUACUUUGCAUUUACUUUUAUAUCUAUAGUAAAUGUCUGAGAAUUUCUAAACAUUGGAGCUGAUGUUAUUUUGAUUUCUUGCCCAGAUUUUCUAAUUAUUGUGCUAUUUUACCACAUGAUUACAUCAGUUACUGGAAAAUAUAUAUUAGAAACAAAACAGCAAACACGUUGGAGGUGUUAGCUCAUAACUAAGCAAUCCACAACUAUGACUAUUGUUGUUUGUUAAAGGAAAUACGGAAAUUCUUUAGAAGCAAUUUUUACUUUUAAUCCCUUAACCCCUUAAGGACGGAGCCAAAUGUACACGUUGUGAACAAAACAAAAUGUAAACAAAACCUGGCAUUUGCGCUACAUGUCUGUCCAACCGUAAUUCACCUCUUUCAUAGUAAAUGCACCCACCCUUAUUAUAUAUCAUUUUAUUCAGGGGAAACAGGGCUUUCAUUUAAUAUCAAAUAUUUAACUAUGAAACAUAAUUUAAUAUGAAAAAAAUGGGAGAAAAUACGAUUUUUUUUUGAUUUUUUUAGUUCUACAUGACAUUUUAACGGUCAAUGUCAUAAUAGUGUUUGCUUUUACUGCAAUAAAAUACACAUAUCUGUAUUCAGCAAAGUCUCACGUGUAAGACAGUACCCCCUAUGUACAGGUUUUAUGGCGUUUUGGGAAGUUACAGGGUCAAAUAUAGCACGUUACAUUUGAAAUUGAAAUUCGCCAGAUUGGUUACGUUGCCUUUGAGACUGUAUAGUAGCCCAGGAAUGAAAUUUACACCCAUAAUGGCAUACCAUUUGCAAUAGUAGACAACCCAAGGUAUUGCAAAUGGGGUAUGUCCAGUCUUUUUUAGUAGCCAUUUGGUCACAAACACUGGCCAAAGUUAGCGUUAGUAUUUGUUUGUGUGUGAAAAAUGCAAAAAACGCCAAUUUUGGCCAGUGUUUGUGACUAAGUGGCUACUAAAAAAGACUGGACAUACCCCAUUUGCAAUACCUUGGGUUGUCUACUAUUGCAAAUGGUAUGCCAUCAUAGGGGUAAUUUUCAUUCUUGGGCUACCAUAGGGUCUCAAAGGCAACGUAACCAAUCUGGCGAAUUUUAAUGUGAAAAAAAUGAAACACAAGCCUUAUAUUUGACACUGUAACUUUUGAAAACACCAUAAAACCUGUACAUGAGGGGUACUGUUGUACUCGGGAGACUUCACUGAACACAAAUAUUUGUGUUUCAAAACAGUAAAAAGUAUCAUAGCAAUAAUAUUGUCCGUUUAAUGCUGUUUGUGCGUGAAAAAUGCAAAAACGUCACUUUUACUGGCGAUAUCAUCGUUGUAAUACAUUUUACUGUUUUGAAACACUAAUAUUUGUGUUCCGCGAAGUCUCCCGAGUAGAACAGUACCCCCAUGUACAGGUUUUAUGGUGUCUCGGAAAGUUAUAGGGUUAAAUAUAGUGCUAGCAAAUUAAAUUCCCUUUACUUUCGGCAUGGGUUGUCAUGCAGGUCCUACUAAUUGUAAUUAAUUAAGAUACCUAAUUAUGUAAAAAUAUUACAUAAAUAUAUAUGUAGAAUCAAUAUAUGUAUAUAUAUACGUAUGUGUAUAUAUAUGUAUAUAUCUAUAUAAUUUUUAAAAAAUAUUUUUAUUUAUAUAUAGGUAUAUAUAUAGUGAUAUAUAUGUAUAUAUUUAUGUGUAUAAAUAUAUAUAUUAUUUCGUUCUAUGUGUAUUUUGAUAUAUAUAUAUAUAUAUUAAUUUCACAAUACAGUUAGAACGAAAUAACACACAUCUAUAUAUUUUUAAUUAUUUAUUUUUAAUUAUUUUUUUAAUUUUAUUUUUUAACGUAUUUACAUUUUUAUUUUUUUUAUAUUAUAUAUAAAUAUAUAUAUAUAACAAUAAUUAUAUAUAUAUUUAAUCAGUAUCAGUCUACAUGUGUGUAUGUAUAUGUGUAUAUAUAUAUAUACUUAGAUCAUAUAUAUAUAAUAUAUGUAUAUAUGAUCUAAGUAUAUAUUAUUUUCUUUUUUACACUAUUUAUUUUAUUCAUUUUUAUUUUCAGCCAGCAGGGGGACCACCUGUCAUUACAGGCAGCCCCCCUGCUGGCAAUGCUGCAGCCAGCUACCCUCAGCCAUGUGAUUGUGGGGUCCUCGCAAGGACCCCACUCUCACAUGGCCGGGGGGCUUCCAGGAGGACGGAGGUGCCGCGGGGGGCUCCCUGGGAGUCCCCCGAACCGCGAUCGCAGGCGACCGCGUAAGUACCGAAAGACCGGAGGGCGUACUAUUACGCCCGGCGGCGUUUAGAGCCGCUUAGAAUAGGGCGUAAUAGUACGCCCUCCGGUCUUAAGGGGUUAAGGACUGAGCAAAAUGUACACGUUGUGAUCAAAACAAAACGUAAACAAAACCUGGAAUUUGCGCUACAUGUCUGUCCAACCGUAAUUCACCUCUUUCAUAUUAUGUGUACCCACACUUAUUAUAUAUCAUUUUAUUGAUGGAAAACAGGGCUUUCAAAUAUUUAGGUAUGAAACACAAUUUAAUAUGAAUAAAAUAUAAAAAAAUGGGAGAAAACAAGAAUUUCAAUUUUUUUUUUUAGUUCUACGUGACAUUUUAACUGUGAAUGUUAUAAUACUGUUUGAUUUUACUGCAGUAAAAUACACAUAUUUGUAUUCAGUGAUGUCUUACGUGUAAAACAGCACCCCCUAUGUACAGGUUUUAUGGUGUUUUGGGAAGUUACAGGGUCAAAUAUAGCAUGUUACAUUUUUAGUUUAUUUACAUUGAAAUUUAGUAGACAACCCAAAGGUAUUGCAAAUGGGGUAUAUCCAGUCUUUUUUAGUAGCCACUUGGUCACAAACACUGGCCAAAGUUAGCUAAUAUUUAUUUGUGUGUGAAAAAUGCAAAAAAACUAUUUGAACGCCCAUUUGGCCAGUGUUUGUGACUAAGUGGCUACUAAAAAAGACUGGAUAUACCCCAUUUGCAAUACCUUGGGUUGUCUAUUAUUGCAAAUGGUAUGCCAUCAUGGGGGAUAAUUUUCAUUCCUAGGCUACCAUACGGUCUCAAAAGCAACGUAACCAAUCUGGUGAAUUUCAAUGUGAAAAAACUGAAACGCAAGCCUUAUAUUUGACUCUGUAACUUUUGAAAACACCAUAAAACCUGUACAUGAGGGGUACUGUUAUACUCGGGAGACUUCGCUGAACACAAAUAUUAGUGUUUCAAAACAGUAAAAUGUAUCACAAAAAUUAUAUCAUUCAUGUAAGUGCCAUUUGUGUGUGAAAAUUUUUAAAAAUGUCACUUUCACUGACAAUAUUGUCAUUGUAAUACAGUUUACUGUUUUGAAACACUAAUAUUUAUGUUCAGCAAAGUCUUCCAAGUAAAACAGUACCACCCAUGUACAGGUUUUAUGGUGUCUUGCAAAGUUACAGGGUUAAAUAUAGUGCUAGCAAAUUAAAUUCCCUGGACUUUCGGCCUGUGUUCUCAGGCAGGUCCCGCAAAUUGUAAUUAAUAAAAUGACCUAAUUAUGUACAAAUAUUACAUAAAUAUAUACGUAGAAUUAUUAUGUAUAUACAUGUGUAUGUAUAAAUGUGUGUGUGUAUAUAUAUUUAUAUAUAUAUAUAUAUAUAUAUAUAUAUAUAUAUAUAUAAAGACAUAAUAUAUAUAUAUAUGUAUAUAUAUAUAUAUAUAUAUAUAUAUAUAUAUAUAUUUUUUUUUUUUAUUAUUAUUUUUAUUUUAUAUAGGGGUAUAUAUAAGGAUUUAUACAUAUACUUAUGUAUGUAGAUAUAUAUAUUAUUUCAUUCUACGUGUAUUUUGUAAUCAAUAUAUAUCUAUUAAUUUUAAAAUAGAGUUAGAACGAAAUUACAGUGGGACCUCGGCUUACAAAUGACUCAGUUAACAUAAUUUUUGGUUUACAAAUGAAAAUCCAUUGAAAACAAUGCCUCGGUUUACAAAAAAUUUUUGCAAUACAAAGCAAGUUUCCCCAGGAUGCAUUGCACCUGGGAGGUUUGUAGCACUGCCCCCUGCAUGCUGGAACCUCGCCACAUCAAUUGUGGAGGUGUUGGAGCGGCUUUUACAUCGAGUUUUGGAGCCAUUUUGGAAAUUGUCUGCAGUUGUUUUGGGACUUUUUGGUGCAUUUUUCAAGCUGUGGAAAGGUAGGGAGCUGAGCUUAGUCAUUUGCAUGCCUUUUAUUGUGUGUUCUGCAUUGUGGGUUGGUUUCCAUGCCAGCUCAUUUUGACUUUUUUCUGACUUCGGGAACGGAUUAAUUGGUUUUCAAUGCAUUCCUAUGGGAAACCGCAUUUCAGUUUACAAAUUUUUUGCAAUAUGAAAUGUCCUGGAGAACGCAUUAAAUUCGUAAACCGAGGUCCCACUGUACACAUAUAUAUAAUUUAUUUAUUUGCAUUAUUUUUUAAUUUUUUUUUAAAUGUAUUUACAUAUUUAAUUUACAUUAUAUAUAAUUAUAUAUAUAUAUAUUUAAUCAAUAUCAUUCUACGUGUAUUUUGAUAUUAAUAUAUAUAUAUAUAUAUAUAUAUAUAAUUAAUAAUGUAUGUGUGUGUAUGUGUAAAUGUCUAUAUAUGAGUGUGUAUAUAUAUAUAUAUAUAUAUAUUUAUAUAUAUAUAUAUAUAUAUAUAUACUUAGAUCAUAUAAUAAAUGGACAACAAACACAGGUGCAUUUUAUUGAUGGCAUUUUGAAUGCACAGAGAUAACGUGACGAGAUCCUAAAGGGCCAUUUUUGUGCCAUUCAUCCACAACCAUCACCUCAUGUUGCAGCAUGAUAAUGCACGGCCCCAUGUUGCAAGGGUCUGUACACAAUUCCUGGAAGCUGAAAACAUCCCAGUUCUUGCAUGGCCAGCAUACUCACCAAACAUGUCACCCACUGAGCAUGUUUGGGAUGCUCUGGAUCGGCGUAUACAACAGCGUGUUCCAGGUCCUGCCAAUAUCCAGCAACUUUGCACAGCCAUUGAAGAGGAAUGGACCAAUAAUCCACAGGCCACAAUCAACAACCUGAUCAACUCUAUGCGAAAGAGAUGUGUUAAGUCAAAUGCGUGAGUCAAAUGGUGGUCACACAAGAUACUGACUGGUUUUCAGACCCCCCCAGACCUCCCCAUUACAGUAAAACUGCACAUUUUAGAGUGUCCUUUUAUUGUGGCCAGCCUAAGGCACACCUGUGCAAUAAUCAUGCUUUCUAAUCAGCAUCUUGAUAUGCCACACCUGUGAGGUGGAUGGAUUAUCUUGAAAACUGAACUUUUGAAAAUAAAUACAUUUCCUCUCUAGAGUUGUCUACAAGUAAGAUAUUGCAAUUUAUGCUUAGCACUAUGUAGAACAAGAUUUUAUUGACACACACACAUAUAUAUAUACUUGAACACUAUAUAAUAUAUAAAGAGAGACAGAGGUUGGCUAAUAGAGGAAAUCUAUAUGGCCUCUUCUUUUAUAAAUUGAUAUGUAAUCAAGGUGUGAACUAACCUCUACCAUUCAGGUUUAAAUAAAAUUGAUCCUGAUAUACAUGAAUAUAUGGAUGAAAAGCCACCUUUGAACAUUCUGAAAUGUAUCUAUAUAUAGUGGUUCUUCUGCAAUAAUAAGUGUAGCAUCCUACUGUGGCUGCACACUAGGCAUUGUGGGAACUCAAGACAAUUCAUACCCUUACUGCAAUCACCAUAUAUAUAGUUUAUACAUUUAUUCUGAAGGCUAAAAUCUUGCAACAACUACAUAAAUACAAUAAAAAAUAAUGUAGUUGUAUUUUAUGUGUUUUAGUUAUUGUUUUGUAUACUAAACAGAUUAAAUACAUUUUUAAUGUUUACAAAUGUUAUAGCUGUAUGACAAGUGCUCUUUAAAAUCAAAAUAGUUUCUUGUAUAUAUUUAUUAAGGAUUGAAUGAUAGCAUUGUACAGGUGUUACUGAUAAAUUUGUGCAUUGAUUUCAUUAGUACUUUAUACUAUUUGAUUUCAUUUUAAGCCUGUUUAUCAUUCUACAUGAGUCCCUUUAAAAUGCUUCCAAACCCUGUAUGGGGUUGGUCUGAAAAACAUUUGUGAAUUACAAGUUGGCUUUUUCUACUAAUUAAAACCAUCACAGAUACAUUCUCUGUUUUGUGAGAACCGGCAUUCAUUAUGAGCAUUCAUUCAUCAUACUUAUGUGUAUGGUCCUGUUUAAUUUGUUAGUUUGAAAAAUCAUCUUUCAAAGUGUGUAAAUAUGCAGAACUGACUAAAUGUUAAUCAUGCGGCGAGGAGAGGUGAGCUAAAUGUCUAAUAAAAAAAAUGAGGUUCCUCAAAAGAUGGGCAGCAGAGAGAGAAAAAACAACCUAAUUUACAAUUCACUCAUAAAAAUUCUAAAUAAACACAUUAGUGUUUGCACUCUUGAGUUAUUAAUUUUCCCCAAUGUUCUAAGCUAAUGCAUUUGUUCUCCCCUUCCAAAUCACCAUUUCCAUUUUUGUGCAUACAUGCAUUUAGUUUGUAUAGCAUCAUUGUAAACUAGCACAGUUCUAAUAUAAAUAAAAUUGCCCGAAUGUAUGUUGUUUUUAAAACUAUUAGACUAUUAAUAUGUUGUACUGUUUUUUUUUACAUUUUAUGAUUAAAAUUAUUGUGACCUCUGAUUUAAAAUUAAAAAAAAAAAUCAUACUUUUAAUUAUUUCCACAAAUAUAAAUUUUCUACAAUAUGGCUACUAUAUUCUUUCUCAUGGUUCCAGUUAUAAAAUCUUUAGAUUAAUUAUUCCAGUCUUUGUACUAAUAUAUUCAUUGCACCAAAUAAAAUGGUUUGUGUGUUUGCUGAAGCACAAUGAACAAUGUAGCACGCAGAGUACUUACUCGCGUGAGGUGUUCAUCCAAGAGAAUUAUAUAUUCAAAAGUACUAUUGAAGGGUGAAUCAGUGGGAGGCUAGUAUGACUCAAGGCAUUGCAAUACACAGCAGGUAUCAGAAUUAAAGCAAUACAAAUAAGACUUGCAUUUGGAAUCCUGCAGUUCAAAAAACACAGUGCAUGGUCCUAUAGACCUAUGCAUUCAAGGAGAAUGUAAGACUGACACUGGAAGCCAUCCUUUGUUCAUACUAUGGGCAUUAGAGAUGGUUAUAUAUUUUUAACAGAAAACCCAGUUGGAAAUGUUAUCCCCCAAAUAAAAUAGUAAGUCUUUAGGCUGGAGUUUAUUAAACUACCCCCUAUUAUGCUUUGACAUUGGAGUAGUACUCCAUGUUUUAAAAUAUAUCUUGUUGGAACAUGUGCAGAGUAAAGGUAACAUGGCGCAUCAAGGAAGUGGUAUAUGGAAGUUAAAAGGUGUGGCCUAAUGUGAACUCACAAUACAAUAUACUGUCUAAAUACACUGGGUCAGGUUUUAUGGUAGCUUAAAGGAACACUAUAGGGUCAGGAGCACAAACAUGUAUUCCUGACCCUAUAGUGUUAAAAACAAACACAAUCUAGUGAACCUUGGCAAUCCUUUGCCCCUCUAAAUAUAGUAAAAUCUUGCAGAUCUAGCACAAGCCAAACACAGCCCUGGUCAGUAAGCAUCUCAUAAUAGAGAUGCAUUGGAUCAAUGCAUCUCUAUGAGUAAAGGUCAAUGUCUCAAUGCAGAGGGGGGAGACAGUGAAUAUCAGUUCUACACCAUCGUAGGAGUGGCCACUGGAGCUGUCCCUAGGCUGUAAUGUAAACAAUAGCUUUUCUUUGAAUUGCCUGCAGGAACUGACUAUACUCACAAGAAAAAAUACAAUAAGCUGUGACUAUAGCAUCUCUUUAAUGUCCAUACAUGUGUGUGUGGGGGGGAGGGGGAAGGGAAGAAUAAAUUAGAACACUUUUAGCAUAAUAUAGUUACAAUGCAAACUGCAAACUCACAUGUGGCAUCUCCAAAUUGGAAUAUAUAGGGUUAUUAACUAAAUUCUAAACUUUCGCAAAUGAACUCUGAAUGGCAAAAUGGAGGCAAAAAUAGCAAAGUUGGAGAAUUUAUUUAAAAAAAAAAACAACCUUUCUGCCUCCCUAUUUGCAUUCAGAUUUAAUUCACAAAAAAAUGCAUGUUUGUGUAUACACUUGAUAUUUUGUUUCUUAGGUUGCUCAAUGUACAGACAAAAGCCAACUUAUAUAUGCCUAACUUUGUAUAAAAUGUUUGAGUGGUGUAUGUAUAUAUAUAUAUAUAUGUGGCAGCUACUCCCAAAGGUUGUAUACCCUUAGCCCCUCAUCCAAGUGUAUAUAUAUACACAGAGAGGUUACAGCCUAUCUAAAAUCAGAAAACAAAUAGCACAGAGCAUAAUGUUGUUGUUUUUUUAGGGUCACACAAGCUUGUAUUAAUUGCACUCAAAAGAAUGUGGAAAUAUAUAGCCCUCGAUGGGAGGGAAGGACCUGAAUAUGUUUCUAUGCAUUUAAUCUAUUUCGAAAAGACUUCUUCAGGGACCUUGCAAUAAAACAUGUAUCAAAACAAAGCUACAAUGAUCCAUACCUUCCAUGUGUCCUCAUAAAUACAGAUGAAGUGCUUAUUCAUUGGUAGAUCCAUGGGUGUGUGGCUUCUUUCCCAGCUGUGUCCACUCCAUUGGCAUUCCUUUCCCCGAUUGUAUCUGGCCAAUCCCUCGCUCCCAUCUUAAUUUCUGCUUACGUUCGCAUCAUCCCAUUGACAUGGGGGUGUUCCAAAUUCGCUAACAUGCUUUCCACUUUGCUUUCGGAGUACUUUUAUCUUUUCGGGUUUCCCUCAAAGCAAAUUGUUACAUUUGUCACUUACAGUGUAUGAUAAUUGUAUUCUUCAUAUGUUGUCAUAUAUUUAUAAAUUCUUUAUUUUUCAAGUUUAGAUGAGGUGAAGGGUACAGAAUAAAGGUAGGGGUAGGGUAGCAGUGAUAUUCAAUAAUUUUCAGUUUCGUUUCAUUGCAAUGGUAUUAAUACUAUUUAUUGCGAAACCUCAGGUCAGUCUUCGGGGUUGAGUGGUUCAGUUUUUGUAUGUCUCAGGUGAAGGUUGUCACUUGGUUUUGGGUCUUGUCGUCUUUGCCUCUGAGAGCGUGUUUGGCUCUUCCUGUGUUGUGUUUGUCAGGUUUGUGUCUCUUUCGGUUUAAUUGGGGUCUGGGGUUUGGUCUGGUGUGUCUGUUUUGUGUGCGGGUUCGGUCAGUGCGGGAGUUUGGUGGUCUCGGCCCAUGGGUGGUCGUCUCGUUUAGGCUGUAGAUGUGGAAGGUUUCCAGUGUGGUGAGCUCCGAGUCUAUGCCUAGUGUCUGAGGUUGUUCUCUUAUAUUUGUAUCUGCUGCUGGUGAUCAUGUUGUAUGAGGUGUGGUAUUUUGUGUUUGUGUUGGGUGAGUUCCCUAGUCUUGUGUUUAUGCUUUUAUUUGUGAGGUUGGUGUGGGGGGAGGGGGGGUCUGUGUAGUGUUUAGGAGGUUGGGGGGACCUAUGUGGGGUCCUAGUGUGCUAUCAGUAGGGUUUUUUUUUUGGGGGGGGGAGUCGUGUCUUGUUCCCAGGUCCUCCGUUUAUGGUGCCAGUAUGUGGUGUUGGGUCCAUGGGUCCCAUAUCUUGUGGAAGUUUCAUGUUGUAUCGUGUAGUAGGGCUGAUAGUUUGUCCAUUUCCAUUGUUUCUUGUAUUUUGUUGAUCAUAGAGGUUAGUUGGGGUGUAUUCUGAUUUCCCCAUUGUUCUGCUAUCGUCCGUCUGGUGGCUAACGCUAGUCUGGCCACCAGUUUAUUCUGCGCUCUGGUGAGGGUGGGUGAGGUUUGGAAAGAAGCCAUAUCCAGGGGUCUCUUGGUAUGUCUGUUUCUAAUAUGUCUGACGCGAGCGUGACCACUCUUUUCCAUAUUUGUAGGACUUGGGGACAUUCCCACCAGAGGUGGAUGUAUGUGCCCUUCUGUGUGCAGCCUUUCCAGCAUGUAUCUGUGGUGGCGAGGCCCAUUUGUUUCAGUCUGAGUGGCGUGAGGUACCAUCUGAGUAGGGUUUUAUAAGCUUGCUCUUUAUGGUUAACGCAAAUGGUAAGCGAAGCCGUGGCUUCCCAUAUGUCUGCCCAGUCUGUGGGGUCUGCAGGGGGGCCUAUAUCUCUUUCCCAAGCCUUGGUGUAGAAGAGAGUGUCCUCUGGGGAGUUUGAGUUUAAGAAUGAGUAUAUUUUUGUGAUUUGUCCUUUCUGUAUGGGUGCGUGGAGGCAUGUUUUUUCGAAUUGCGUUGGUUUGGUAGUGGCGGCUUCCCUAUUUUGUGGUUCAUUGAGAAAGCUGCGAAUCUGUAUAUGGCGGAAAUGAUCGAAUGUGGUCAGGGGUGUUUGUUUGGGGAGGUCCUGGAAGGGGUAGAGUUGUUGGUCUUGGAAAAAGUGGAGGAAUCGGAACAGUCCGUUGUCCUCAAAUCGUGAGAAGUCUUUGGGAGUUAGGCCUGGGGGAAAUUGCUUGUUUCUUAGAAUAGGUGUGAGGGGCGAUGGUGUGUUCAUUAUGGGAUGUUUUGAUGUGAUGUCGUCCCAUAUGAGAAAAGAUGUGGUUAGUGUAGGAGUAGUUUGUGGGGUGGGUGGUCUGUCUUUCUUGGGUAUCCAAAAUAGUAGUGAUGGGUGGUCUCGUCCCAGGAGGUCGUGCUCUAGGUCUACCCAGAUCUUGAGUCCCGGUGGUGCAUGUAGCUGUUGUAUUUGGGCCAGUUGAGCCGCUUGGUAGUAGUUGUAGAAGUUCGGGAGACCCAGGCCUCCUGUUUUUGUGGUUUUGUACAUUGUGGAUCUUUUUAUGCGCGGUCUCCUGUUUAACCAUAAAAAUCUGUCUAUGUGUAUUUGGAGCGUUUUAAAGUCAUGUUUGGAAAUAGGUAUUGGUAGUGUUUGGAAGAGAUAGAGGAAUCGGGGGAGGAGAUUCAUUUUUAUUGAGGCUAUGCGCCCUAUCCAAGAUAUGGACAUAGGUCCCCAUCUUUGCAGGUCCAGUUGUGCUUGGUGGAGUAGUGGUGUGUAGUUCAGGGCAUAUAUUGUGUUCAGGUCUGCCGGGAGAUAUGUUCCUAGAUAGCGUAUAUUGCUUAGGUUGUAUUUAAAUGGGUGGGCUAGUUGUAGUUGUUCCAGAGUGUGUUGUGGUAUUGCUAUUGGAAGGGCCUCUGUUUUCUCCAGGUUGAGUUUAUACCCCGAGAGGGUUGCGUAUUGUUGCAGGAGUGUUAGUAGGGGUGGUAAAGAGUGGGUGGGGUCCGAGAGUGUGAGGAGGAUGUCGUCAGCAUAUGCCGCUAUUUUGUAUUCUUCUGACCUUAUCUUAAUCCCCUGUAUUGUCUGUUCAUUUCGUAUGUUUUGGAGAAGAGGUUCAAGCGAAAGGGCGAAUAAGAGUGGGGAGAGUGGGCAUCCUUGUCUCGUUCCGUUUUUGAUUACAAAUUCUGGGUGUUUGGUGUUGGGGAUAAAAAGUGUGGCCGUGGGUUGGUCAUAGAGGGCUUUCAGGGCGUCUAGGAUGGAGGACAGGAAUUUGAAUUUCUGGAGGGUGUUGUCAUAUAUUUAUAUGCCUGUUCGAAAGUUCUUUUUCUAUUUUACCAGUAUAUUUCUGACUGCACAAAUUUGUACCAAAACCAUGUUAAUCUCUGCUAUAAAUGAAUUUCUUAGAUGUUUCAUAUAUUAAUUAUUGAUUGCUUUCUAAAGUAUUAUAGUUUAUUUAAUUUAUGUUGUCUAUAUAUUUCAAAAUAGAAAAAUAAUAAAUAAAUAAAUAAAUAAAUAAACAAACAAACAAACAAACAAACAAAUAAAUACAUGUGUACUUUAUACUUUUAGUUCUUGGUUACUUCCUAAGUGUUUAAUUUACUUUAUCUAUAUUAUUAUUUUAAGUUGAGGUUUAUACCUUCUCUUAAGAACCUUACAGUGAUUUGUGCAUUACGCUACACCCUACAGCCUUUUGUUCUCAACAGGAAUAUUGGAGAUCUAUCUAUAUGCUGGUCUGUCUGUCCAUCUAUUUAUAGAUAAUAUCAUGUUAUUUGCUUAUUGUUUCCUUGGUUGCUAAUAUGGCUAAAAAAAAUUAAAUAGGAAAAAAACUGUCUGUUUCUUUAAAUUGAAUAAAUAAAGUUAAAAUAUAAUUAAUAAGCUACAAUUGUACUCUCACAAAUAGUGUUAACUGAAAUAUCUUGCUCUGGCUAUAUCUCUUACUACAAAUGUUGUUUCCAUUGGUCUGGUCCAGUAUUGUUACUUCCAGUUCAACUUCUAUAAUUGAUUCCAAUUUGCCUUUACUUAACUAUUGCAAUGGAAUUAUUCAUAUGCAAUUUUGAUAUAAUUAUGUUUCUUCAGUAUCCUGUUUAUUGUUUUACUUGAGCAGUUAUUCUUUUACACAAUAUAGUAUAACAUUUUGUUUAAAACCACCUGCCUAAUAUUGUGUAGGUCCCUCUUGUGCUGCCAAGACAGCUUUGAUGCAUCAGGGCAUGCACUCCACAAGACCUCUGAACAGGGGAGGGCUGGGGGGCAAAAUCAGUCAAGUGGCCCAUUGCCCCACCAAAUCAGUUCACCAGCCAUGCCCACCUUUUCCUGGUUUUAGAACGGAUAUUGAUGUUAUGCUAAUACCCGCUCCUUCACGGCUCUGACUUUCAAUGUUGUCAGAGCGCAGGCUGAGAAUCUCUGAGCCUGUGCUCUGACUCACUAACUGAGCGCCGGAACCACCAGGGAGAGGCUAUAAUCUGACUGCACCUACUGCUGGUGCGCACCAGUGAACCACCAGCGAAUCGUUUAAAUUGAAUAUGCUGGUGUCCCCAACUUGUGAGCUGUGUUGGCCGCUGGGCGCCUCUGUUCUCAUGGCACCCUGCGUGACCGCACAGCUUGCACACCCCAACGGCUGGCCCUGCUGACACACACUGAUGUUACUACUUAGAAAUCCUUCAAUAUUAAUACAGACAUCAGAGUAAACACGAAUAAACUGUGGAAACAGAGCUGAUCCCCCCCCAAAUUUAUAAAGAUUUGCUUAGUGGAUUUGUUGUAAGAUUAAAUCAUGCCUCCUCCUCUCUCUCUCCCAUGCACUGCUCUGUAGGCUGGGAGGAAGUGAAUAGUAAUCACAUUCUCCCAGCACAGCGGCACCUGUGGCUGCAUGGGGAACAGCUGGUUAAUGUAAUGCUUGCAGGACGGCCAGCUGCCGCAGAACCUCUUUGUUCCCAUCUCUGCAAAGGGCUCCAGGCACUGCUUGUUGUGAGUGUGAGCCACUGUAAAUUAGUGGCAGAGGGCACUUGCACUGCGGUAAAGACGGAUCUGGGCAGGAGGGGAGUGCAGUGCAAUCAGUGCACUCCCCUCCUGUGGGUCACCAGUAGACUGGUGCACCUGCCCAGGAUCAGACCCUGUGCAAGGAUUUUUGCCGCCCUUGACAAAAGAAAAAUUUGCCGCCCCCCCCAUGUAACAUCACAAUGCCCCACCCAUAUGAUCUGCCAUAUGAACUAACGCCAGUGCUGCACACAGUGUGUGUUUACAUUAAAAAGCCUGCAGAGACUGGCUAUAGACACCAGAACCACUUCAUUAAGCUAUAGUGUCCCUUUAAUGUGAGGUAAAUUAUAGAUUAGUGUCACUAAUAAUAUACUAGAUUGCCUACUUACUUACUGGGAGAAUUGGAAGCAGCUCCAUUUUUUUGGGGCCCCUUACAAAGCUCAAGGUCUGGGCCUCAGGGCCUGACAGUGAGUAUGCCCAUAAGGCCCACUCAUAAGUCCACUUAUAUGUUCCACCCACCCAUGAGGUCGCUCACAGAGAGUGGAGUGUGUAGGGGAUGUGUUAUUGUAGAGGAUCUAAUAUGUGUGCUUAUGGUAUGUAGUGUAUAGGGAUACCAGUUUUAGUAGGUGAGGCAGUGUGUUUGUGUGUAGUGGAAGCAGUGUGUAUUUGUGUAUAAGGGAUGUAUUAUGUGUUUCUGGUUGUGUGUAAGGGAUGCAUUGUGUGAAUCUGUGUUUGUAUGUAUAAGGGAUGCAAGGUGUGUGUCUGUAUGUAUGUAAGAAAAGCAGUGUGUGUGUGUUUGCAUGUGUGUGUAAGGGUUUGCAUUGUGUGUUUCUGUGUAUGUGUGCAAAGGAUGUAUUGUCUUUGUGUGUAAGGGUUGAUUGUGUGUGUGUGUGUGUAAUGGAUGCAUUGUGUGUUUCUCUGUGUGUAAGGGAAGCAUGUUGUAUUUCUGUGUGUGUAGGGAUGCAUUGUGUGUUUCUGUGUAUGUAUAGGGAUGCAUUGUGUGUGUGUGUGCGCGUAGUGUGAAAGAGCUACCUGUCUUGCCCCCUGUCCUAUAGAGCUGUCCCUUAGAGCUCUCCCCUGCCCCUUAGUGGUCUCUCCCCUCCCCCACCGUCCCCUAGCGGUCUCUUCUCACACUCACCCACCCUCCCUGUGCUCUUCUCAUCCCCCCCUCCACCCUCCCUGUGUUCUUCUCACUCCCCCCCUCCAUGUGUUCUCCUCACCCCCCAUGUUCUUCUUACCCCCCUCCUUCCUGUGUUCUUCAUACUUCCCCCCUUGGUCGUCUUACUCCCCCACCUGUUCUUCUUACUACCCCACCUGUUCUUCUUACUCCCCCCUUCUUCUUACCCCCCCUUCUUCUUCCUCCCCCUUCUUCUUCUUACCCUCCCAUCUUCUUACCCCCUUCUUCUUACCCCCUCUUCUUCUUACUCCCCACCCCUUCUUACUCCCCACUCUUCUUCUUACUCACCCCCUUCUUCUUCUUACCCCCUCUUUUUCUUAUCUCCCCUCCUUCUUACUCCCCCCUCUUCUUACUCUCCCCUCUUCUUCUUUUACCCCCUCUUCUUCUUACUCCCACUUCUUCUUCUUACUCCCCCCUUCUUCUUCUCACCCCUCUUCUUCUUACUCCCCUUCUUCUUCUCCCCUUCUUCUUACUCCCUCUUCUUCUUACUCCCUCUUCUUCUUACUCCCCCUUCUUCUUCCUCCCCCUCUUCUUCUUACUCCCCCCUUCUUCUUCAUUUAAUUUGUUCUUUGUCUUAUCUCCCCUCCUUCUUACUCCCCUCUUCUUCUUACUCCCCCCUCUUCUUCUUACCCCCUUCUUCUUCUUACUCCCCACUCUUCUUCUUACUGCCCACUCUUUUUCUUAUCUCCCCUCCUUCUUACUCUCACCUCCCCCUCUUCUUUUCCUCUCCCCCUCUUCUCUCCCUCUCCUUCCUCCCUCCCUCUUCUUACUCCCUCCCUCCUUCUGCUUAUUCCUCUCCCUCCUUCGGGUAGCAGUUGAAGUUCUUCCCGUUCAGUCGAGGGUAGACACUGAGUGUGCACUUCCUGUCAGUCCAGCUGGUACAGGAAACAGAAACUCCUGUUCGCCGCUGAGUUUCUGUUUGUACCGCCGAUCGACAGGAAGUGCACACUCAGUGUGCACCUUCCUAUCACUCCGGCCGUGCACUGCGGACCGGAGAGGAGCUCGGCCACGCUACAGAGGAGGGGAGGAGAGAAGCAACUGCAGCCGCCUGAGGCUCGUAACAGAGCGCUCAGGCGGCUGCAGCAUUUAAAGGGCCGGCCCUGCAGCGGCCGGUCUUAAAAGAAUUUAGGGCGGACUGGGGGGCAAUUGCCUCCAUGCCCCCCGGCCCAGCCCGCCCCUGCCUCUGAACCUGUUCUGUGAUAUCUGGCACCAAGACAUUAACAGCAGAUAUUUUAAGUCCUGCAAGUAGCGAGAUGGAGCCUCCAUGGAUUGUAUAUGUUGUUCCAGCAUACCCCACAGAUGAUCAAUUGGAUUGUGAUUUGGGGAAUUUGGAGCCCAAAGCAACACCUUGAACUCUUUGUCAUGUACCUUCAACUAUUCCUGAACACUCUUUUGCUGUGUGUCAGGGUGCAAUAUCCUGCUGAAAGAGGCCAGUGCUAUCAGGUAUUAUCAUUGCCGAGAAGGGUUCUACAUGUUUGCAACAAUCCCUUGAUAGGUGGCCUUCCUUCUUCCAACAGUGCAUCAGGCUUCCAGAUUAAUGAUGCACACUCACUCAGCUAUCUACCUAAUCUAAUAAAAAUAUGAUUUAUCAGACCAGGCAAACAUGUUGCUGUGAUCGAAGCUCCAGUUCUGAACUCCCCAUUGAAGGAACAUUCAGUGGUGGACAGUGGUUAACAUGGGCAUUCUUACAGGUUUGCGGCUAUGCAGCUCCAAAUGCAGCAAUCUGCAAUGCACUGUGUUUUCUGACACUCAGGGCCAGCAGUAAGUUUUUAGCAAUUUGAGCUGCAGUAGCUCUUUUAUGUGAUCUGAGUAGGCGGAUUAGCCUUUGCCACCCCAUGUGCAUCGAUGAAACGUGGGUACUCAUGACCCUGACACUGGUCUUCCUUUCACCACUUUUGUAGGUACUAACUACUGCAUACAGAGAACACCCGACAAGACUUCCAAUUUUUAAGACGUGCUGACCCAGUCGUCUAGCCAUCAUUGUUUGGCCCUUGUCAAAGAUCUUUUUGCUUGCCUAUUGAUCCUGCUUGCAACACUUGAAAUUUAAUAACUACAAUUGGGUGUCACUACCUUGUUAGCCUCGUGUCCUUGGGUCCCAAGGCAAAUGCCUUGUUAGCCUCGUGGUGAAUACACCGCUGGGCACCCUAGCGUGACCUAUGGCCACAUGCCCACAGAAAUGGCUACCUGUGGGCAUCCCCCGAGGCAGGCGGCAGCUUGAUUUGCGGUCAGGUGGCGAGGGAGAGCUGUAGUCUGAGCUCUUUCUGUUCAGCUCCCUUGCGCGCCGCUUAGUGAUGCCGGGGGCCGGAAUAUAAUGUCAGAUCGGCUCCCAGCAUCACUAAGCGGUGCGCGAGGGAGCUGAGCAGGAAGAUCAGAGCUCCCUUGCCGCCUACUAUGCCAGUUCGCCCCCUGCCUGCCUGUACAGCAGCACAAGCAGCCCGUGCAGUCCCAUUGGACCCCAGGUGAGGAAUCCACUCCAGUUCUCCCAUAGAGGCUGGAUGGAAUUAAAUUAAAAUAAAAUAAUAAUAGUAAUUUGUGAGUGUUGAGGGAAAUGUGUAUGAGUGUGUGUCUGUCAGUUACUCUGUGUAUGUCUGUCAGUGAGUGUGUGUUUGUCAGUGUGUGUGUCUUUGAGUGUGUGUGUGUGUGUGUUUGUGUCUGUCAGUCACUCUGUGUUUGUGAGUGAGUGUGUGUCUGUGAGUGUGUGUCUGUGUGUGUCAGUCACUAUGUGUCUGUCAGUGUGUGUGAGUGUGUCUGUGAGUGUCAGUGUAUCUGUGGGUGUUUGUGUAUGUGUGUGCCAGUGUGUGUGUAUUUGUGAGUGUGUGUGUGUAUCUGUUAGUGUCUGUGUAUAUGUGAGUGUGUAUAAUUGCUGUGUUUAAUUGCUGUGUUGGCACUUUGAUGAAAAAAAGUUGUUUUGUAUUGUGGUUCAGGCACUCAGGCUCAAAAAUAUUUGCCAUCACUGCUCUAAUGCACAUUUCCAACCGUAUAAUAAUGCUGUGUCACAUUAAGUUGGUUUCACAAAAAUGAUAAAUACUUCAAUGUACUCCAACGGCCUUCACAGUCAACAUACCUCAAUCCAACAGAGCACCUAUAGGAUUUGAAGGAACAGGAAAUUCACAGUAUGAAUAUACAGCCAAAAAAUCACAUGCGACUGGCUUCAAGAUUUAUAUAUACUAUUGUGCCCAUACUAUCAUUACUUGACUAUGAACCAUGAGCAUGUGUGUAUGUUGAUAAUUAAAGAGUAAAAGUACAUAAUUGUAAUAUGUAGAGUAGUUGGCUUUUGCACCUACGAGUGAGCAGCUUCCUCAUAUUCUCUCUGUUUGCUCCUUCUGUUUGUGGAAGUAUCAAUGUAAAAAACACUUAAAUUGAUUCUUUCUCUCUUAAUUGAAUUGCAGGUGUUCUGUAGUCAAGGUUCCUGUUUCGUAAUGUAUUGAACAGACAUAUACAUACAAGCAUUUUUGCUUAAUUUAUAACAUAUAUUUAGGAAUUUGAUGCAAUGGUAGCACUUUUAUAUGUACAGGGAGUGCAGAAUUAUUAGGCAAAUGAGUAUUUUGACCACAUCAUCCUCUUUAUGCAUGUUGUCUUACUCCAAGCUGUAUAGGCUCGAAAGCCUACUACCAAUUAAGCAUAUUAGGUGAUGUGCAUCUCUGUAAUGAGAAGGGGUGUGGUCUAAUGACAUCAACACCCUAUAUCAGGUGUGCAUAAUUAUUAGGCAACUUCCUUUCCUUUGGCAAAAUGGGUCAAAAGAAGGACUUGACAGGCUCAGAAAAGUCAAAAAUAGUGAGAUAUCUUGCAGAGGGAUGCAGCACUCUUAAAAUUGCAAAGCUUCUGAAGCGUGAUCAUCGAACAAUCAAGCGUUUCAUUCAAAAUAGUCAACAGGGUCGCAAGAAGCGUGUGGAAAAACCAAGGCGCAAAAUAACUGCCCAUGAACUGAGAAAAGUCAAGUGUGCAGCUGCCACGAUGCCACUUGCCACCAGUUUGGCCAUAUUUCAGAGCUCCAACAUCACUGGAGUGCCCAAAAGCACAAGGUGUGCAAUACUCAGAGACAUGGCCAAGGUAAGAAAGGCUGAAAGACGACCACCACUGAACAAGACACACAAGCUGAAACGUCAAGACUGGGCCAAGAAAUAUCUCAAGACUGAUUUUUCUAAGGUUUUAUGGACUGAUGAAAUGAGAGUGAGUCUUGAUGGGCCAGAUGGAUGGGCCCGUGGCUGGAUUGGUAAAGGGCAGAGAGCUCCAGUCCGACUCAGACGCCAGCAAGGUGGAGGUGGAGUACUGGUUUGGGCUGGUAUCAUCAAAGAUGAGCUUGUGGGGCCUUUUCGGGUUGAGGAUGGAGUCAAGCUCAACUCCCAGUCCUACUGCCAGUUCCUGGAAGACACCUUCUUCAAGCAGUGGUACAGGAAGAAGUCUGCAUCCUUCAAGAAAAACAUGAUUUUCAUGCAGGACAAUGCUCCAUCACACGCGUCCAAGUACUCCACAGCGUGGCUGGCAAGAAAGGGUAUAAAAGAAGAAAAUCUAAUGACAUGGCCUCCUUGUUCACCUGAUCUGAACCCCAUUGAGAACCUGUGGUCCAUCAUCAAAUGUGAGAUUUACAAGGAGGGAAAACAGUACACCUCUCUGAACAGUGUCUGGGAGGCUGUGGUUGCUGCUGCACGCAAUGUUGAUGGUGAACAGAUCAAAACACUGACAGAAUCCAUGGAUGGCAGGCUUUUGAGUGUCCUUGCAAAGAAAGGUGGCUAUAUUGGUCACUGAUUUGUUUUUGUUUUGUUUUUGAAUGUCAGAAAUGUAUAUUUGUGAAUGUUGAGAUGUUAUAUUGGUUUCACUGGUAAUAAUAAAUAAUUGAAAUGGGUAUAUAUUUGUUUUUUGUUAAGUUGCCUAAUAAUUAUGCACAGUAAUAGUCACCUGCACACACAGAUAUCCCCCUAACAUAGCUAAAACUAAAAACAAACUAAAAACUACUUCCAAAAAUAUUCAGCUUUGAUAUUAAUGAGAUUUUUGGGUUCAUUGAGAACAUGGUUGUUAUUCAAUAAUAAAAUUAAUCCUCAAAAAUACAACUUGCCUAAUAAUUCUGCACUCCCUGUAGAUCCUUUUUAUCACAUAAAAGUGUAUAAAAAGUUGCUACAUGAAAAUAUCUGUCCGAUUAGUUUUAUUUCCCAUUGACCAUUGUACUUUGUAGAUAUCUCAUCUUCAUUACCCUUACCGUGAUUCCAAAAUUAAAUUGGCUAAAGAUUCUACAGCAUAAAAUUUUUAAUUUCUUCUUAUAUUAUGUUCCUGUAAUUCCUUUAAUUAUCUUUCUAAUCUUUUUUUUUUGCUGCUGGGGGGGCACCACGAGAGAGGAGGAGAGAGGGACUCAGUUUGUAUUUCUAACACUACAGUGUUCCUUUAAGUUCUUCUUUAACAGCAGAACUGUAUGGAAAUGUAUACAAGGGUUUUGUAACAUUAUAUACAAAUUAACUACAAAAACUGAGAAUACAUUAACCAAGGGGCAAAAUUUUGAAAAGGUGAAUCAUCUUUUUUUGCUGUUCUAUGCAUAUGCCAAAACAUUACAUCAUUUAAUUUGUUCAAUGAGGGUCUCUUAUACUUUAUUUUAUGGGGAGACGUUGGAGACAUGGCUAGAAGCAGGGCAUUAAAAGGGAUAGUUAGGUGACUUUGUGACCUAUUGAUAGCUAUUUAUAUAAUUGGCUAAGUCGUUUGGAUCGAGAACAAACAAAGUAUCUUAUUUACACAAACUAUAAAUGCAUUUACUACAGUAUAAUCACACAUUGUGAAUUUUAUUGCUGUAAAUUGCUGUAAUAGGUUUAUACUUACCACACAUUACGAGCUUCUAGUAUAGGACGAUAGGUUGUGGUCUCAGAGGGAUCCUUGAGUAUGACAGAAUUAUUUGUAGAAUGUUUUCUAUUCUUGAUAUGUAUGGUGUUAAUUUUAUUCAGGUGACAUCAUUUAUUUAACUCCUUAAAAACCAGUAAUAGCCAUAAAAUCUGGUGUAAGAAUCCGAUUGUAAAAAGGAAUUGCCAGUCAUUUAAAAAUGACCUGACUGUAGAGUACUACUAAUGAUAGAGAAGUUGGAUAUUCCAAGAAUAAGAAUGUAGGAACAUGCAGGGUUCUAUCAGUGGUUGAUUAAGGGUUACAUUUGGGAAUGUUAUUGAAAAUUAGUUAUGGUAUUUGUUUAAACUGAAAAUGCUUUAAACUAGUAAAUCAAAGAAACAUUUAUUCCAGUAAGUGUUGCAGUCAUGGUCGAAAUGUUGUCUACUGCUCAUGGUUUAAGUGUUGGGUUAUAUAGUAAAAAAAAAAAAGAAAAAAAAAAAGACAGCUGAACAAGACAGCUGAGAAACCAUGCUAGAUUUAUUUGUUUUUAACAUUUUCUGUGCAUAAUAUUUGUAAAUAAUGCAGUCCAUAUAUGAUAUAUUGCUGCAAAUGAUUAGCCCCUCUCUGUUUACAGCUCACUCUAAUUGCUAUAAAACACCAUUUGUCAGCUUCAUGUUCUAUUGACAAUGCUAUCGAUUUAUCUGAUUUUGGCUUUGUCUUGCCUUUUGUACAUAAAACUCACAUAUGCAGUUCAAAUGGGAAAUGGCUGCAUUGAUUUUCUUAACUUGAGCCCAAAUGCUAAAGAUUUUUGGAUAAGCUUUCUCAUUACUUAAGCCGAAAUCAAUAGGAGAGAGCAUCUUUUAAUGAAAGAGUCGUUUGAGCAUCGAACUUCAGAAACGGGGUCCUGUUCAUUCUUUGCUUCACAGAUUGAUCUUUUAAGAUUCUUAAGUGAGGUCCACUUGGUUGACAUUGCGGUUUCUCUUGAUGUGUAAACUUGCAGAUUCAGGGACGAGCCUUCGAGCUACAGAAUGAACAAAAGGAAACUCUUACUCUGAAGCAGAAACAAGAAGGACUUCUUGCUGAGGUACCCAAUUAAUUAUUGAAAUUGAUGAUUUAAGGGUUGAGCUGCCAAUUCUAAAUGCUUUUCUUUAAUUGCAUUUCAAUGUAUUUUAAGUAGAGAUAAUAUAUCAACAGGAGUAUAUAUAUGCACGUGUACAUGCAUGAGAGCACACAUGUUUCAUUUGACACAUGUUACAUUCACAAGUAGCAGUUAUUCACCUGGGAAGCCAUAGUAAUUAGCAUUGGUGUCUUUGUGCUUUUGUACAUAAAGUAUAGAGUAAUUAAUUGGUUUACUGUGUGUGCGUUUUGCCUAAUCUGUUAGUGUAACUAGGCUUCUUUCCAGCUACAGGCUCAGGAGCACACCAUUUACCAGCUACGGAGUGAGGAGUGUAACCUGAAAUCCCAGCUUAAGGACGGCAAAGCGAGACUUGAGCAUCUGCAGAGCAAACUUGACAUGUCAGACAAGUUAUAU